rnacentral:lncRNA from 1 species
AGAAGAACACCAAGAGUACAAGAGUGAUAGUUCCAAACAGACCACAGACAUCAACACCAAACGAAAGGGAAAAAAGAACAAAUACAACACAUAUCUUAGACCAUUUAACACUGCUAAUUAAUUAUCGUAACUUACCUAUCAGUAUGCUCGAAAAUUAGUCAAGCAGUACAACCACAUAUAUAUAUAGGUAGAGAAAUGUCCAUUAUAUGAACUUACAUAACGGGAUACGAAGCUUUCAUGGCGAUACCACAUAAGCCACCUGGUGUAUUCGCGUCCCUUUGAAUCCUAAUAUAUCCUUUUUCACCCCAAGUUUCUCCCCAUGAAUUCUUAGCCAGCCAGUAGUUUAAACCUUCUUCACUUGUUCCGUAUCCGACAACGGUGACUGCAUGGGAGAGAGCAUUGCCACAAUCUCCGGUAAACACUCCCCCGCUGUAAAACCGAAAGUCUUGUCCAUGGCCUUCGAUUGCAACUGAGACAGGUUGACUUGCGACGACCUUAAGCAACGCUUCUUCGUCGUUUUCAGGCACCAUUUGAUAUUCAUUGAUGGUGGCAACUUUGUUUAUCUGUUUCUCAGUGUCGCAAGUUUCUUGCGUUUCUUGAUAUGGGUAGCUUUCUUCAGUAGUUAUUCCUUGGUUUCGGAUAACGUAUUCGAAAGCAUUUACCAUUUGUCCACCAUCGCAACCUCUGUUUCCUCCAUCUGUGCUGCAAUCCAACAAUUGUUGUUCAGAUAAUGACAUUAAACUACCAGUUUUGAUUUGGACUAUCCCUUCAAUGGCUGCCACUGCUGAAAAUGCCCAACAACAUCCUGCAAAGUAAACCAACAAUAACCCUUUGUUAAGUAUAAAACAAUUACUGAAAAAACUAAAUGAAUGCUUCUUGGCUGAGCAAUAUUUAUAAAAUAUUUUAUAGGAGUUGGGUUAGCAUACUAACAUAUUUUUAAGGGAAAAAUCAAAUAGUGACACGUGGUUGUUAAAAAGUAAAUAAGUCUUAUUGAGCAAAAUUAAUUUUUAUAUAUUGAAUCAAAAAGUAAAUAAGUCUUUUAUGUUAAAAAUUUAAUUCAUUUGUACUAUUAAAAACUGUCGUGACUGACAAAAUAACCAAAUAAUAACACGUGGCUUGCCAUGUGUGUUGAUAUAUAAGGACCAGUUUUUCAUAUUAAAAAUGAAUGAAAUUUUUAAAAGAAUGAUGAGUUUGCUAUUUGAUUAACGUGCGAGGAUUCAUUUGCCCAUAUUUUGAGUAGAGACGACAAAAUGCAAUUCGGCUCCUAGUAUAAGAGUCUCCAUAAACUUUUACCUCUUUUAUUUAAAAAUAUAUAUUUUUAAAUAUUAUAAUUAUAAAUUUAUUGAUUUUUUUAAUUUAUUCGUCAUUAAGCAUACAUCAAUGUUAAAGUAAGUUUGCAUUUUCUUUCCAUAUGAUAUAUGUUUUAAUUUGGAAUCGAUCUAAUAUUUCUAUCAUAUCAUUUAAAAAAUUGAUUUUUUUCAAAAUAUAUCAAAGGAUUGAAAGAUUUGUAUAUUAAUUAAAUAAUUUGACAUUUUUAAUUUACUUAAACCUUGAUUAAUAUUAUUUAUGUUAAUACAACAUCACAUAUGAUGGUUGAAUUAAGCAAAUAUAUUGCAGAAAAUUAUUUCUUUUCUACAAUGAUGGAAAAUUAACUUAGGGUGCUGUGUGUUUAACUUACUUUUUGUCUCAUACUACAGUAUUGCUACAGUAUCUAAUCUCACCGUCAUUGUUAUUUUUAUAGUAUCGGCAGGUAAACGCACCACCCAUCCAAACUCACUCUUAGUUUUAUAGUAAUAUAAGUGAAUUCCCUACAUAUAUAUACAUUAGAUUAUGAGAUAUCUAUGAUGUCGAUGAAAAAUAUUUACGUAAAAAAUAUAUUAACUAAAAUUUUAUAUAAAAAUUAAAUAAAAUUUUAAUUGAAAUAAUAAAAUUAAAGGUUUAAAAACUAAUGCUUUAAGCUUAAAUCUCAUCAUGUGUACUUUUAAUGAUUUUAUAUAUAAAAAAAACUCUCAUAAUAAUACAAGUUAGAUUGUAAAAAGAUGACUUUUUAAUUAGUUUCGACUGCAUUUGUGUUCGAUUGAUUUGUAACAUUAACUUAAUCAAUGGUUGUAUGUAAAUUGAGACUUACCACAUUGACCUUGAAACUUAACAGGAGUGACAGCACCUUGGGCCCUCCAAUCCAAGUUUGUCGGAACAUCUGAGACGUUUUCAUACAUAAAAGAUGUUGAUUCGGACAGUGUGGGAUUGCCUUGCAUCUUGUAUCCUGUAUGAGCUGCAAUGAAUUCAUCUUGUGUCAUGUCUGCAAAUUCAUUGAGACUUAACUUAAAACUCCUAUUUCCGCCAUUGUUGAAGCUCUCAAUAUAUUCCAAGUUUUCCUUGAAUAUAUUAAGACGCUUCUCCUUCUCUAAUUUGCUCUCAUAUUUUCGAUUAUAAUCAACCAUCCAUUGCUCAUGUUUGUCAACAAUGAAGGUUUCAUGGAUUGUUCGGGACAUGGCAAGAGAUUCCAAUGUCCCAAAAAUUAAAAACAAAAAGACGUGGAUUAAACUCAUCAUUGUUUGGCAGAGAUACUACACUAAUUGAAAGGUCUAGCACUCAAUGAAUCUAUAUAUACUACAAAAUUUGAUUAAAAUAACUAUUUUUAAUUAAGUCAUCUUAUGAAAAAUCCAAAUAAAAGGCCAAUAAAAUAUUUGAUUUAAAUAAAUAUUUUUAAUUGAUUAACCCUACUACAAGUUUGUUUGUAUUUGUUUUUCUUCCUUUGAGUUGAAAAAAUUCAACACUCCCAUUAUGUUAAGGGUAAAUUGCAUAAUAAUCACUCAAUUAUUAAUAAAUUAAGUGACGAUAACUAACAAGUGAGUGAUUAAAAUAUUUAAUUUAAAAAAAUUAAGUGACUAAAUAAAAAAAUUUAAUAGGUGGGUGACCAAAAUAGAACCAAGUGCAUAGUUGGAUGACUAUAUUUUUAGUUUACCCAUUAUUCAUAGUUGCUGACAUUCAAAAUUAACAUGGAUUAAAUUGCUCAGAUUUUUUAGAGGGACGAGCUUACUCAAUUUCUCGUAGAAGUUGUGGUUUUUAUAUUUUAUUUUUAAAACUCAAAAAUAAAUUGUAAAAACUUGUUUUUAAAAUGAUUUAAAAAAAAUAAAACCAAUUUGAUUAAAGGGUUGCAAUUGAUAAGGGGAAAUCUCAUUACCUUCGCCUACAAUUAUUUUAAACAUAGGUUAACACGUAAUUUGAGGAGGAACUGAGAGAAAAACUUAUUAAACCAGAGUUAAAUAUUCAUCCCUUCAUUGCUGUUUUCCAGUUGUAUUGCUGCAUGCAAGCACUUCACUUGGAUUUCACUAUCAACCUUCCAACUUCCCCACUAUGUACGAUUAAAAUAUCACACAAGUGAAGAGAUAUUUUAAAGGAGAAAACUAUCCACACUUAAUCUAAAUUAAAAGUGAUCUAAUUUAAUUAAAAUUUAUUGAGCUUUAAUUAUUAAAUAAAAUAUGAAUCAAAUAUUAAUUUCUAACUAAUACUGGGCUGAUUAGGAAUUAAAGUAGAUUUAACUUUUUUAAAUUACUUAUCUGCUAAUUUAAAAGAUUAAAACUAUAAAAUUCAAAGAUCUCAUAAAAUCGAUAGAUUUAAGUACGCUUUUGUAUUUUAUUUUGCUCUUGACUAAACAAAUUUUACUUUAUUAAAUAAAAUAUGAAUCAAAUGUUAAUUUCUAAAUGAUAAUGGGCUGAUUAGGAAUUAAAGUUAACGUAGAUUUAACUUUUUUAAAUUACUUAUGUACUAAUUUAAAAGAUUAAAACCACAAAAUUAAAAGAUCUCAUAAAAUCGAUAGGUUUAAGUACGCUUUUGUAUUUAAUUUUGUUCUUGACAAAACAAAUUUUACUUUAUUAAAUAUUUAAAUAAUGAAAUACCUUAAGAUGAAUGAAAAAGAAAAUGAAUUUCAUGAUAUUUUAGUAAUAAAAUAUAUGAAAUGAUGAUUAUAUUUAAAUUCCAAAUUCUUUAGUGCAAGUGUCUGGGUCUUCAUUCUUGCAAUAAUGUAAGAUUGAGCCAAUUAAACAUUACAUGUAGUCUUUAGUGAAAUCAUCUAGGCCUUCAUUAUCGUCUCUAAAGCCCCAUUACAUAAUUGGCGCGCCGAUGAAGCAAAUGAGAAUGUUGACAAGCAGGAUUUGCUCUAUUUUUUCUCUUAAUUUCUUAUGUUUGAUAGUUGCUGCGUGGAAUAGAAAGAUAGACCAGAUGCAAGUCACGGUCAAGGUCAACUGCCCUUAUUUGCAACAGAGCCAGGGUGAUUUUUUUUAUUAAUUUAUUUUGAAUAUUUUUAUUAAAAUAAUGCGUGAACGGACAAAACAAAAUUUUAUUGUGGAUUCAGUUAUUAUAGUAUUUUGAGUUUAAGGUUAAUUAAGAUACGACCAAUUUCCUCUGGUUUGCAAAAGUUAUUUCAUCAAUGGUAGUGGGACAUUUAGACUCCACCAUCAUGAGUCGUAGAAUAAUACAUAUUCGUCUAUUAAGAAUGAGGAAUUAAUAAAAACAGAAGCAAACCGAGUGAUUGUUUCCUCUAUAGGGAGGACAAGCAAUCUAAGGAUAAGAAAAUGCUUAAAACUUCAAGUUAUCCCAAAGCGAACAAAAAGAAGUAUAAAAACUUAUUAAAAUCUAAGUAUUUUUAUCAACAAGUGUUGGUUACAAUGGUAAGGUAUAUUGCAUUGUAGAGGACAUUGUUGGAAGGGACAGUCAUUAACCUAGAACAUAGACCGUAAAACAGACAUGAAUAAUACCCCAAAAAAAGUCCAAGUGUUUCUUUUGUAAUAACAAAAAGAGCACUGCAAGGAAAAAUGCAAAGAGUGUAAGGAUUACCUAGUCUCUAAGGGUAAAGGUAUGAAACUCUUGAUUAUUGAAACUUGUUUAGCGGAAGACUUAAUAGACCAUUAAGUCAUUGAUUAUAGAGCCACUAGUCAUGUUUGUAUUUCUUUGUAGGGGUUUAAGGAAAUGAAAGAUCUUCAGGAUAAGAAUCUACCAUUGCGAACCGGAGAUGGGAGCUAUGUGGCUACAAAAACAAUUCGAGAAGUACAUCUUUAUUUUGAUAGUUUUAGGAAGAUUGCUUUGGGAGAUGUUUUCUAUGUACCAAACUUUAGAAGAAAUGUAAUUUAUAUUGCAUGUUUAUUUAAAGACGAUUAUACUGUGACUUUCUGUAAUGGUAUUGCAAUUCAUAGAAAUCAAUCUCUUAUCUCUAAUGGAGGGAUGCAAAAUAAUAUUUAUUUUAUCAAAUCAAAUAUGCACUUACAGCUAGAAAUUGAACUCGUAAAUGAGAAACUUGAAACUUCUCUCUAAUGAGGCAUACUCAUUUCUAAUUUCAACGAGCUACCAGAGGGACUGAUUGGAUAUAUUUAAUUAGGGCUUAAAUGAUUUGUAAUUAAGUUUUCGCUUACAGCCUGUUAAUUAUAAACUCAUUUCAUCACAAAUUCAUUCGACUAUAGUAUCGUUACUGAGCUCUACCUAGAGGCAUACCAUUACAAAAGCAACUACUUCAGUGCUCGUCCAAUGACAUUUUCAUAAGUGUGUCACCCUCAUAUGAUAUCCUUGAUCUCUUUGGAAUAAUAUCCGCUCUCCCAAUAUGAUCCUUUUUUUUUCUCUUGGUAACCAUUACAUCUUCCUUCAUGAAAAAUCUAUCACUAUCAAAUAAUGAUCAAGUCAUCCAUCAUAAAGAGGAACGACCUGCUGCCACAUUUACUUUUCAUCAACCAUGUAAUGCAUAUUGAGGAUAUCAUUUACCCAUGUCUCGACCUAUGAAUUUCACUAUUGUGAAUGAUGCGAUAUACUGAACAAAUCUUACACCCAAUGAACCAGCUUUCAGUUCUGUAUCUAUUUGAACUCAAGCUUUUACUUACAUCAAAGUGUACAUAAUAAUUGUAACCUUCUCUUGCACUAAUACUCAUGGGGCCACAUAAGUUAGUUUGAACAAGUUAUAGGGGUUUUCUAUCCCUUGUUCCUUUUGCAUUAAAAGAUCGCUUAGUUAUCUUACCUUCAAAGUAAGAUUCACAUUGUGGAAGAUCAACUUCUUUAAGCGAACUUAAGAUGUCAUCUUUAACAAGCCUAGUGAGUUUUUCUCAGUUAAUAUGACCAAGUAUCAAAUGCCAAAUGUAUGCAUUAGAGUGAGAAGUUUUAAGUCUUUUAUUUGAUAUUUUAGUCUCAAGUAAUGUGUACAUCUUUGGUUUGAUAAAAUAAAGAUUAUUGACAUCCACCCAUUACAAUUAAGAUUGCGAUUCCAAAAUAUUGCAAUUCCAUUACUAAUAGUCACGAUUAACAUAAAUUAAGAUUGCGAUUCUAAAAUAUUGCAAUUCCAUUAUAUAAACAGGCAACAUAAAUUAAGUUUCUUUUGAAAUUUGAUACAUAGAAAAAGUCUCUUAAAAAAAUAAUCAUCCUAAAAUUUUGAAAAUAAAGAUGUACAUCUCCCACUACUUCAUCUGCCACACUUGUCCAGUUCCCAGACCACAACGAUAAGCUCUUAUACCUAAGAUCCUUUCUUUCCUCGAACCCCUAUAGAUAAAUACUAAUUUAAGGGUGUUUUUUUCUUUGCUAAUUGCUAAGUUGUGAAGAACUAGCACUCAGUGGACGUAUAUAUAUACUACAAAAAAAAUUAUUGAAAUGAAGAUUUUUUUAAUUAAGUCAUCUUAUGAAAAUUCAACUAAAAUGCCAAUCAAGUCUAUUUCUUUAAAUAAAUAUUUCUUUAAAUACUAAUUUCUAACUAAUAAUGGGCUGAUUAGGAAUUAAAGUUGACGUAGAUUUAACUUUUUUAAAUUACUUAUGUACUAAUUUAAAAGAUUAAAACCACAAAAUUCAAAGAUCUCAUAAAAUCGAUAGAUUUAAGUUUGCUUUUGUAUUUAAUUUUGUUCUUGACUAAACAAAUUUUACUUUAUUAAAUUUUGUAUCUUAACAAAAGAUUAAUAAAACUGGAAUUUGAAACAAUUAAUAUUGUAUUAAAUAUUUAAAUAAUGAAAUACCUUAGGAUAAAUUAAAAAGAAAAUGAAUUUCAUGAUAUUUUAUUUGUUGGCAUGUUUUACCAAAAUAUUUUGAUGAUUUGCUUGCAUUUUUUUGAGUAUCUUGUGCAACCAAUCUUUUGUUUAUCAUUGGAAAAGAGAUUCAAUCAAGCAAAAUUAUUUUUCAAGGAUCCUUAUAUUGUUUACUUAUGUAACACCCAGUUUUGCCGGGUUGUAAGUUCUGACGAGAAGAUUAAGAGUAAUCGGUGAGAAGUAGCCUAUCUACUCGAUUAUCAUUUUGGCACAUAGAUUAGGCGCAUAGCAGAUAAUAGAAUAUUAAGCAGGGAUUGUCAGAUAAUAGAAUAUUAAGCAAGGAUUGUUCUCAGAAUGUAUUCAGUUGUAAAGAAGAAGAGAUUGAUGAGAGUGUUGAGAACCUUGUAAUAAGGGGGUUAUCGCCUAAAUUGACAAUUUUCCAUUUUAGGAGGGGGCCCUGCCAAGCUCCCUAGAUAUACCACUCAUAGUGGUUGAUUUUCAAAAUUGGCGUGGAUUAAAUUGUUUAAAUAUUUAAGAGGGACCAGCUUACUCAAUGUUAAAAUUGAGAAGGACCAAAAAUUGUUUUUUUUUCCUUGUAGACAGUUGUUUAUAUAUAUAUAUAUAUUUGUAAAAACUUAUUAAACAGGAGCUAAAUAUUCAUCCCGUCAUUGCUGUUUUCCAGUCGUAUUGCAGCAUGCAAACUUAUUAUAUUUAAAUUCCAAAUUCUUUAGUGCAGGUGUCUGGGUCUUCAUUCUUUUCUCUUAUAAGAAGUUCAGAUUCAGACAAUUUUGUUUAGCCUUAGACACGACAAAGUGUUCUAAUAGUACAUCCCGCACGUUACUUAAUUGGCUGAUGUCGAUAAGUAAGAAUGCCCUUAAUUUCUAUCCUUUGAUAGUUGGGUGAUUGGGAUGAUUUAUUUAUUCAUUUUGGAAGUUUUUAUUAGAAUUUGACUUGCUAAUUUGCAUAUUUAUAUUAUAUUUGUGCUUUUUUUUACAUAAUUUUUUAUUAAUUAAUAAUGUGUUAUAGUAAACUUUUUUAUUCAAUUUAAUAUUACCAGCCCAUUCCAUAUUAAUUCAUUCAAAUAAAUUAUAUAGGAACUAUUUUUUAAUAAAAUAAUAAAUAGUAUUCCAAUAUUAUUUUUGUUUUCUAUUAUAUUUGAGUUAAUAUUUAAUAUAAUAUUAGUGGAAAUUUCAAUUCUAUAAUUUAAAUGCUAUCACAUAUUCCAUUUGAAGAAAAAAAAACAUUUAUUUUUUAUUACACUCUAAAAGUGUAUGAGCCGAUUGAGUCUUAACUCGGUUGGUAUUAACAUUGUUGCCUAUGCAGGAGGACAUGGGUUCAAGUACGUUGAAACACAUUUAUCCUCUUAUUGAGGGAGUGGAGAGACACUAUGGGUAGCUCUUUUAUUUUAACUCGAACAAUUUCACUCGAUGCGACUCGACUCAAAUUUUAUUUCACUCGACUCUAUUCGAAAAAAAAAUCAAAUUUACUUAAGAUCUUAAAAUAAGAAUCGUAAACUCGAUUAACUCGAAAUUUUUUAUAUACCAUUAUCAAAUCUACUUAGAACCAAGUAGACGAAAAUUCCAACCCAUACGAUACUUCAUUACUUAAUUGACGCAGCAAAUAUUGACAAAGCUGGGUUUGCGCCAAUUUUUUUUCUUCUUAAUUUCUAUUGUGUGAUUGGUACAUGGGUGGGAACGAACAUAAUUAGUGCCAUCCCACCAUGCAAUUGCAACCCUAAAAAAAAAAUCUAAAGAUGGUGACAAUUCAAAAUGGUAAUAAAAUAUUGAAAUAAAUUCUUUUUAUUUUACCUUGAUAUUAAUAAUAUUUAAUAACAUAAAAUAAUUUAUAUGUAUUAAAAUUUAUUAACCACUUCAUAUUAGAAUAACCCUAUCAUUAUUUCAAAAGGUAGAAAUGUUAUUAUUACAACAAUUAAAAAAUAUCAUAUAUUCCAAUCAUUAAUUCAUCAUAAUUUUAAUAAAAAUUCUCACAUAUAAUAAUGAUAAAUAAAAAUUAUUUAUGCUUAAUUGCAAAUUAUGUGCAAAUAUACACAAUUGUAACAAGUAAUAAAGUAGUAAUUAUACGAGUACCGUCUCCUUAGGGACUGAACAGGUAGUCAAGAUUUGCGAAAAUAAUUUAAAUAACAAUUAUAAAUGGGGUUUAUGCAAUUAAUUAAACUAAAUGCUUCUAUCCUGCAAAAUUUCAACAGAAUAAUGAGUACUUCAACAAAUGAAUUAAUAAUGCUAGAAUAAUUAAUCCACUUCUGUCUUUGUUCAAUUUAGUCUGGAUGCAAUUGUUAUGAAAAUCUUGGCAUAAUUAGCGUGUAACAUCCAUAACCUGUUUUCAUCACCAGAAUAGGGUUACAGAGUAUUACCAUACAAUUCGAAACAUUCCAUAACAAUAGCAUCUAAUUCAUCAAGUUAAUUAACAAUAUUCAUAAAUAAUUCGAAAUCAAGGAAGACACACAUUCAUAGAACUUAAAUCGAGCCUACGAGGCCUAAUAAUCAGAGAUUAAUUCAAAACAAAAUAGGAGAUUUGGUACAAAAAUAAAAAAAUUUCAAAAUAAGGGUCACACGGCCAUGUGUCUAGGCCUAAACCAUGUGGCCAUCACACAUGCUCGUGUGCAUGGGCCGUGUAACUCUCUAACUUGGGUCACACAGCCGUGUCACAGCCCGUGUAAACCUUGCACCUAACACACUAACACACGCCUGUGUGUGACACACGACCGUGUAACAACCUGUGUCCCAGGCCGUGUGUACCCAAAAGUGACUAAAAUCAUGUUGAUUUUUCAUCCAAUUACAUAAGUACCUAAACCAAUUCAUAACACAUGAUCAUAAGACUAUAACCACACCUAAAAGCAACCAAAACAUGUCAAUUUCAACCAUCUAAAACCAAACCAAGGUGUCAUACAUGAAGUUACAAAUAAUGUUUAUACCCAACAUAAUCAUUUCAUAUCACCUACAAAUCAUACAUAUACACCAACUAAUCUAUGUCAAUCUCAUCAUACCAUACUUAAACAUGAUAUUUACUAUUCCGUGGGCAAAACACUCAAGCUCAACUUUGAAUUUAACAAGCAUACCAUAUAAAGUUACCAUUCUACAACAUCAAACAUAUCAAACACCACACAUAGCUAUGAAACAUUACAAACAUAAAUCAUUUUUCCUAUUACAUGCUAUAUAACCAAAUUGUUUACAAAAUCUACCAAAAGAGUCUUUAGGAUAGUGUGAUUUUACGAGUUGAUCUGAUCUCCCCUCCACAAAAUGUAAUCUACAAGAAAAGGAACAAGACACGAGUAAGCUUACAGAAGCUUAGUAACUUCGUUGAUUAAAUGAUAAUCUUAUCGGAUUGAACAUAAAUAAACAAUGUAUGAGAUUUAAGAAAAUAAGUUCCUGUCAAUCACAGCUAACAACAGGUGAGUAUUGCACAGUACAAUAAUUCAAAUCAUAUUCCAUAUUACUAUUAUUUAAACUUUCCAAAAACACUUAUACUUGGAUAAUUCACAUCAUCAAGAUGCCAUAUGAUAAAUGAUCAAAAACCAUGUCAUAGUUCUAACAAUAUCUCAUUUCAUGUAAUCAAAAGGGUAUCACUCAUUCGAGUUAACAUUUAUAACUUUAACCGACUCACGAUGUUGCUUACACAAGCUGCAGAGAAUCCGCAACACAUGUAGGAUCUCAAGCCAUCGCUACGGUCUAUAUCACAAGUACACAGUACCUGCUAAAUAAUCACGAGCCCACAACCUACUAAGACCCGAAAAGAUCUCAAAACACAGUAGAAUAUACUUCAUGUUGCUCACCUCCUUUUCAUUUGCUCUUAAGAAUAGUAUAGUGUCGUCCGCGAAUUGUAAAUGAGUAAAAUUCUGUCUAAGAAUAACAUAUUGAAAGUCUUCAAUUAGCCCUAACUCCACAGCUUUAUCCAUUGCCAAAUGAAGCAUUUUCGUCACAAUUAAAUAAGAAUGGGGAUAGCGGACCUCCUAGACGAAGACCUCUGCAGAAUCUGAAUUCGUUUAUGGUUAACCCGUUGAUAAUUACUGUUGUCAUAACGUUGCCUACAUAAGAGUACGGGGGCCUAGUAAGCAAAGCUAGACACGAAGGGCCUAAAUUAAAGUAGAGUUGCCACUAACCAAUUAGGGCUAGCUUCGUAAGCCACCUAUCGUCUAAAAAUCUAGAAUUAAUACGUUGGAAAAUCCUAAAAGUCUAGAGUCAAUCUCAUCACCAAAUUUUGGGUUCGGGAGUACGGUUACGUAUGGGGAACGCUAUAGCACCCCCACAAUGCCUAUCCGGGGGAUAGUCCUACGGGGUUAUAAAACCUAGAAUUUUUUUUAAUUAAGCAUAUUAAUGUCUUAAUCUAGGCUAAAAUCUUAUGGAAAUUUUAAAUAAAAACUCUAAAGAAAUGCCUUUGGUUUACUUGUAACUCGAUUAAGAUGUGUUUACCAAGCUUAUCUAAUUUGAAACUUUAAUGAGAGAUUUUUAAUUUUAACGGGAACCUUAAAGGAUACCUAAAUAAGUAUAGUAAAAUAUCUUUAAUUCCUAAAGUUAAUUCUAUUUUAGAAUUCUAAAAAAACCUAGAAAUUACCAAUAAAAUAAGAGAAAUAUUAAAAUCAAUCUACAACUUAUUUGAUCUUUUAUUAUUAUUAUUUAAAAGAUUUAAUUAAUAACUUUGAACCUAUCAAGAUAUUACGAAAGUAUCCUAUGCCGGUUUAUGAUCUAUCUUACUUUAAAAUUCUUGAUCUAAUAUUUAAAUUCGUCAAAAUCCUGAAAUAAUAUAUCUUAAAUAAUAUUUAUUAGGUUUCUUAAAAAGUUUCUAAAAUAAAAUACUUAGAAAGACCUACUCAUGAUUUACAAUUCACCUACAAAAAUCUUUAAUUUUAAUCUUGAAUAAAGUCCUAAAGAAUAAUUACAUAUUAAUUUAAAAUUCUAAAGAGGAAUCCUAUACGAUAUUUAAAACUAGUUUAAAACCCUAAAAAAAUCCUACAUAUUAUUUAUAAUUUUUCUAGGGUAAAUGGUGGAUAAGAUCUUAAGGACUAACCUAAAUCCAAAUGUAAAAACCUUAUGGUUUCAUUAAAAUGUAACACCUAUUUAACUAACUUCAUGUCAAUAAUUACAGGAUGGAAAAAUGACCUAAAGUUAUUUUAAAACAAAUAGUAAUAAAAUAGGAAAAUCAAUUAAAUUGGCUAAAGUUAAUGAAAAAUUAAAACUCUUCCAAAAUGAAAAAAAUUAAAAGAAAGAUUAAAUAAAUGAAAUAAAUAAGACCUUAACAUGAUGAUAAUAAUAAUACACCUUAUUCAUAAUAAAAUAAAAGAAUCAAAGUAAUAAAUUUUGGAUUAAAUCGAAUGUUUGAAAAAAUCAAAGGGCUACGGGUGUAAAUAAUCCAGAGAGUGAGGGCGGUGCUGCAAAAAAUAGGGUAUUUUUGUAAAUUUAAAAAGUAAGGGGUGGGAAUAAAUUACCUACUUUUGGCACCUAUAAAUGAAAAAAAAAACUAUUAAUUCUUUCAUUUUAACCUCAUUUUUUUUUCAAAAAAAAAAAUCUUCCUCUUUCUCUUCCUCCUUUUAUGUUGGCCAUGGCUCUACCACCGGAGAGCCGUCAGGCUCUCCGGCCUCCGGUGGUGGAGCUACAGCAUACGAUGGUCGGGUUUUUUUUUUGUAAAAUUAAAGUUUUCUUUUAAAAAAUCACUACUUUUCUUAAAAACCGAAACUUUAUUUCAAAAUAGUUGAAAAAAAAUCAAAAGUUUGUUUUAAAAAAUUUAAACUGCUCCUUUAAAAUGUCUAAAAAAUAGAUUUUUAUUUUAAAAAUCUAAACUUUCUCUUUUUUAAAAAAAAUGCUAUUUUUCUUAAAGUUCAAAGAUUUUAUUUUGAAAUAGUUGAAAAAAAUAAAAAAAAUUGUUUUAAAAAUUUAAACCUUCCUUUUAAAAUGAUUAAAAAACAUAUAUAUUUUUUAAAAAUCUAGACUUUCUUUUUUUUUAAAAUCAAAACUUUUCCCAAGAUCAAACUUUAAAAAGAAAAAAAGAAACCUUUAUUUUAGAAAUGGGAGGGAAAAAAACAAGAUUUUUGGGGCUCCUAGGGGCAGAGGACCGACAGUCAGGUGACAUCCCCUUCAUCGGAACCCAAAACCUGAUCCCUCUUGACAUAUCUAUGGCCAAAAAAAAAAAGAUAGAAGAAAAAAAGAGAAAUAACAUGCUUAUUGUUGUUGUUGUUGUUGUUGUUGUUGUUGUUUUACCUUUUUUUAGAAAAAAAAAUAUGGAAAGCCUUUCUCUUUUUCAUUUCAUUUCAUGUUUAUAUAUUGUUUUUUAAUCUUGCUUAUUUGUAAAAGAUGAUGAUAAUAAUAUUUAAUAAUAAUAGUAGUAGUGAUGAUAAUAAUAAUUUGAUCCCUUGACAAGCCCAAAAAAAAAGAAAAAAGUCUCAAAUUGACCAAAAUUAAGUGGGCUUCGAAUGGCCCAACAGAGAACAAAAAUUUAAAUGGGCCUCUAAUUGGACUUGGACAAGAUGGGUGUCUACAACUGUUGCUCUCAUUGUAGAUCCACACUCGAUUAUCCAUCAUAUCUAUUUUUCGCCAAAUCCCAUCUUGAAUAAAACCAACUCCAAAAAAUCCCACCGAACACAGUCAUAUGCUUUAGAAAAAUCCAAUUUAAAGAUCAGAUUGCCCCCUUCCAUCUUUCUCUUUAAUCGAGUGGAUUAUUUCCUUUGCUACUAAAAUUCCAUCAAAUAUUUGUCUUCCUCUAAUGAAUGCACAUUGAGUAUCGCUCACCACCUCUCCGAUGAUCUCCCUUAUUAAUUGAGACAAUACCUUUGCCACUAUCUUGUACAAAGAGCUCACCAAACAAAUUGGCCUAAAAUAAUAUAUUUCGAUUGGAUUUUUAGUCUUGGUAUGAGUGUGAUAAAUGAUGAAUUAGUAGUCCUCUCAAGCUUUUCGGAUAUAAAAAAGUCUAUCAUCAAUCUGAAAUGAUCCUCCUUUACAAUCUCCCAACUUUUUCUAAAAAACACAGGUUAAAACCGUCCAGUCUAGGUGCUUUUGAUUCAUCACAGCUCCAUACUGCCUCUUUAAUCUCAUCCAUCAAAAAUGGUGCCUCCAGUUUCAAAGCCUUCUCCCCAUUUGGCUUUCUAAAAUUCAGUUCCAAGUCCAUUCUCCACUUCCUCACUGGGCAAUUAAAACAAUUUUUGAAAAAUUGUAUUGUCUCUCUUUCAUCUACUUAGGUUCACUGCACCAAUGACUCCCUAUUUUCAAACUAUAUACCAUAUUCCUUUUAGCUUUGAUCUUCGCUGCUCUAUUGAAAAAAUUUGAAUUAGCAUCCCCUUGUUUUAACCAUGUAAUCCUUGAUUUUUGACGCCAAACUGAUUCUUUAAAUUUAAUUGCUUCCCAAAGUUCAGUAUUCAACUUUUUUAAUUCCUCUAUUUCUAACUUAGUCAGUUCUCUGUGUUCACUAGCAUCAUCGAUCUCCUUAAUCCUAUCUUCACUUUCUAUAAUUCUUUUUUCCGAUGCAUUGUCAGCAUCCAAAGGAGAAGGGAAGAGUAGGAGUGGUGAAUAUUAGAAUAAAAAAUAGAGCAUUAUUGGCUAAAUCGAGCUGGAGAUUUGCGAUCAAGAAAAAUGUGUUAUGGAAAAAAGUUAUCCUAACGAAGUAUGUUUUGAGCUUGCAACAGUGCCAAUUUAGGACGACUUGUACAAAAGAUAUGUCAACUGUUUGGAGAGGUAUUGUAGAGAAUUCUAAAGAUGCCAAUACGUCUAAAAGGGUGGGGAAUGAAGCUUUUUGUAGGCGGGUUGGGAAUGGAAGGACGACAAUGUUUUGGGUGGACAUAUGGUGUGGUAAUUGUCCACUAAAAUUGGAAUUUCAAAGGCUGUUUCGCUUAGCAAGACAAAAAGGAGGUACAGUAGCAGAUUACUUGAGAAAUAAUGGAUUUGGUAGAGUAAAGUGGAGUGAACUCUUUACAAGAUCCUUAUUGGAAAGAGAGGAAGAGAUGCUUCGUAGAUUGGAGGAUAAAGUGAGUAGCACGGAGUUAGUUCCUAGUGGAGGAUCGGCUUUGUUGGGUACACGAUCGUAAUUAGGAAUUUAUGGUAAGGAAGUGUGCUAAAUAAUUGAAUUAUUUUGAUAUAAAAUUUUCAAUUGGUGGGAGGCUGAAUGGGAACCGGUGGAAGGAUUUGAUAAAUUAUACUCAUUGUGUUAUAAUAUGAAAUUGGAUAGAAUCUGAAAAAGCUUAUGGUUGAUAUCAAUUUCGGUAGCCUGUUGGACAGUAUGGUUGGCAAGAAAUGGACUUGUCUUUAAAAGAAAGAUGAUGACCAUGGAAACUUUGAUUUUUCAAUCAAAGAUGAGGGCAUUGCUGUGGAUAAGGUCCGCCUAUGAUGAUUUAUUGAUGUAGGAGAGCUCUUGGUGGAUUUGCCCGAACAGGUGCAAGAUAGAUACAAUUAAAUCCAGAUCAUCCUCAUCGAUAUGACGCCCUCCUCCACAAGGAUGUUUAAAGUUCAAUGUAUGUGGGAUAGAAAAUAAGGAUAGUGCAGGUUGUAGAGGUGCUUUGAGAGACAUGGAGGGUGUUGCAAGAGCUCUAUUUUCAAGUCCGAUUGCAACAGAUGGUACUGAUUUGACAGAGGCAGGAGCAGUGCUUUUAGCAUUAGAAGUAUUUAUAUCUCUGGAAUGGAAGAUAAAUGACUCACUGUUGGUAGAAAUUGGUUCUAAAGUGGUGUUCAACUGGUGUACAAACAAGUCGAUGAGACCAUUGUCACUCCAAUCAACAUUUGCAGAUAUUGAGAGGAAAAUUGAGAAGGUAGGUAGUGUUGUAGUUUCAAUGGCAGAAAAGAAAGGAAAUGAAAUGGCCUCAAACUUGGCAAUAGCAGGUAUAAAUCGUGGAGAAAUGUUUAAAGCUAGGUGGUGAGCAUUAGAUUUGAUGUCAAACGUCAGUUUUCUAUUGUUGAAAAUGUUACAUUAUGGGACGCUGUAAAUUUAAACUUUUGAAUGUUGUUCUUGCUGUAUUUACAACAGGUCAAUUCAAAUGAAGAAAAACAAAUAUUUAGUAGGCUUUUUAUUAGUCAAUUUGGAUUUUGGUAAUAGAAAACUAAAAUAUUCAUUAAAAAAAUGGUUGGUUGGAAUUUAAUUUAGAUAUUUCUUAAGGUAGGCAAUUAAAAAAUUGACUUGAUUGGCAUUUUAUGUAGAUAUUUCAUAAGUUUCUAAAGUCAAAUUUUAAAAAUUCGCUUACUUCGCAUUUUAUGAUGAUAUUUUAUUCAAAUAUUUUUAAUGAAUAUGAAAUGUGAGUUUUGCUAUUAAAUUUUGGAUUGUGUUAAUAUGAAAAUUAAAAAUGAUGAAAUUAAAGAGUUUUAAUAGCGAUUUCUCUCUAUGUUGAGAUUCUAGCUCCAAAUGUUGGCAAAUAUUUGAUUGAAAUAAUAUAUGAGAGAUUUGGACGAGUUGUGGAUAUAUUCAUAGUAAAAAAACUGAAGGUGAUACGAUUUUUGUAAAUGAAUGUGAGUUUCAUACAAAAAUAUUUAAGAAACAUGAGAAAUGAAUUAUUUUUAUUUAAGAAAAUAUACUCGUCAAAUUCAUAUCACCAUUUAGUUUAAAAUUUUAAAAUAUUUUUUUAAUAAAAGAAAAAGAAUUGCCAAAUACUUUUUGGAAGCUUUUUUUUUAAUAAAUAAUCAUUUAUUCAUUAUAUAGAUAAAAGGUUGGCAAGAGUGCAAGACUCAUAGUUCCAAACAAACCACAAACAUCAACACCAAAUGAAAGGAAGAAAAACACGAGUACAACAUAUAUCUUAGACCAUUUGACACGGCUAACUAAUUGUAGUAAUAUGAACUUAUGCUAUUGGAUACGAAGCUUUCAUGGCGAUACCACAUAAGCCACCUUUCCUUUCCACAUUCCUUUGAAUCUUCAUAUACCCAUUUUCACCCCAACUUUGUCCCCAUGAAUUCUUAAUCAGCCAAUAGUUUAAACCUUCUUCACUUGUCCCAUAUCCAACAAUGGUGACUGCAUGGGUGAGAGAAUUUCCACAAUCUCCUUUAAACACUCCACCAUUGUAAAACCGAAAGUCUCGUCCAUGGCCUUCAAGUGCAACUGAGACCGGUUGAUUCGUGACGGCUUUAAGCAAUGCUUCUUCGUCGUUUUUAGGCACCAUUUGAUAGCCACUGAUGGUGGCAACUUCGUUUAUCUGUGUGUCGCAAGUUUCUUGCAUUUCUUUAUAUGGGUAGCUUUCUUCAGAGGUUAUUCCUUGGUUUUGGCUAAUGUAAUCGAAAGCAUUCAUCAUCCAUCCUCCUUCGCAACCUUGGUUUCCUCCAUUUCUGCUGCAAUCCAACAGUUGUUGCUCAGAUAAUGGGAUUAAUUUACCAGUUUUGAUUUUGAUUAACCCUUCAACGGCUGCCACUGCUGAAAAUGCCCAACAACAUCCUGCAAAGUAAACCAACAAAUAACCCUUUUCAAGUAUUAGUGAAUAAAUAAAUGCUUGGGGGAGCAGUAUAUAUAAUUAUUUUAAAUUUUUAAUUAAUUUUAGUGUUACGUAUCAACUGAAAACUAACUCGGUUGUGAAAUUAUUAAAAUACUCUCGUAACACCAAUUUAAUCUAGAGUUUUAUGGGUUUAUAUAUAUUAUGGAGACUUACCACAUUGGCCCUGAUUCUUAAUAUGAGUAACGGCAUUUUGGUCCCUCCAAUCGAAGCUUUUCGGAGCGUUUGAGUAGUUUUCAUACAUAAACGGUGUUGAUUCCAACAAUGUGGGAUUGUUCUGCAUCUUGUAUCCAGUGUGAGUUGCAAUGAAUUCAUCCUGUGUCAUGUCUGCAAAUUCAUUGAGGCCUAACUUAAAACUCCUAUUUCCGCCAUUGUUGAAGCUCUCAAUAUAUUCCAAGUUGUCUUUGAAUAUAUUAAGACGCUUCUCCUUCUCUAAUUUGCUCUCAUAUUUUCGACUGAAAUCAACCAUCCAUUGCUCAUGUUUGUCAACAAUGGUGCUUUCAAGAAUUGUUCGACACAUGGCAAGAGAUACCAAUGUCCCAAGAAUUAAAAACAAAAACACAUGGAUUAAACUCAUCAUUUGUUUUUUUUUUUUUUUUGCAAUACAAGCAGAGAUACUUCACUAAUUUAAGGGCUUUUUUCUUUGCUAAUUGCUAAGUUGUGAAGAACUAGCACUCAAUGAACGUAUAUAUAUACUACAAAAAAAUUAUUGAAAUAAAUAUUUUUUUAAUUAAGUCAUCUUAUGUAAAUUCAACUAAAAUGCCAAUCAAGUCUAUUUUUAAAAAAAAAAAAAGAAGAAGAAGAAAAGUAUUUUUUUUCUUAGCAAAAUCCAAAUUUGACAAAUAAAACUCUGCUCACAAUAUAAUAACAAAGAGAAAAUUGUAAUCUUUCUAAUUGAUGAACCCUACUCACAAUAUUUUCUAUUUUUCUUUCUCUUGAAUUGAAAAUCGAUUUUAGGAAAACACCCAAAGUUCACAUUAUGUUAAUUACUACUACAUAUUUUCACUUUUUGACCUUCUAAUCUCUAUUAUUUUGUUAGAAUUGUAACUUUGUGAAAUUAUAUACAAGUUAAUUAUUUUAAUAAGAUUAUGUUUUGUAAUAUAAUUAGGGGAACAUAAGAUGAUGAGUAAUUCCCUUGUUUGGCUCAUUUGGAUGGAAUAUAAGAUUCAAAUGAUUGAUUUACAGAAUGUAAGAUUAUCUAGAAGCACAUUUUAUUAAAUUAUCUUUGUUAUAAAUUUUUUUAACAAGUAUAGUUUCUUUAAUAGUUUUUAGUCUAAAUUUUCAGAAAUUAAUCAUAAAUUAUUAUAUUUUUUUAUUACAGUCUGUAUACUAAUAAGUGUAUAAUAUUUAAAUAAAUUUAUAAAUCAUAAUUAUAAUAAUUAAUGAAAAAUAAUUACGUCACCAAUCAUAAUUAUAACUAUAAUUAAUAUAGUAAUAAAUAAGUUAUUAGAGUAAAUAUAGUAAUUAUAGUUUUAAAGUAUGAUAACUGUUGUUUCACGAUUUAUUAAAAACUUUAAAUUUAUUAAAAUAAUAAAAACAAAGAGUAAGUAUGCCCAAAAUUCAAGAUUAUAUCUAUAAUCUAAGAUAAUCUAACAAAUGAAUUGUAUUAAGAUUACGAUAUCUUGAUACUAUUUUAAGAUGUAAGAUUAAGGGAUGAUUAGAAUAUUGAGAAUCCAAAUAAAAUAAUCUUCUUCUAGAAUGUAACAUUACAUGCAAUAAUGUAAGAUUGAGCCAAUUAAACAUUACAUGAAGUCUUUAGUGAAAUCAUCUAGGCCUUCAUUAUCGUCUCUUACGCCCCACUACAUAAUUGGCGCGCCGAUGAAGCAAAUGAGAAUGUUGACAAGCAGGAUUUGCGCUAUUUUUUCUCUUAAUUUCUUAUGUUUGAUAGUUGCUGCGUGGAAUAGAAAGAUAGACCAGAUGCAAGUCACGGUCAACUGCCCUUAUUUGCAACAGAGCCAGGGUGAUUUUUUUUAUUAAUUUAUUUUGAAUAUUUUUAUGAAAAUAAUGCGUGAACGGACAAAACAAAAUUUUAUUGUGGAUUCAGUUAUUAUAGUAUUUUGAGUUUAAGGUUAACUAAGAUACGAACAGUUUCCUCUGGUUUGCAAAAGUUAUUUCAUCAAUGGUAGUGGGACAUUUAGACUCCACCAUCAUGAGUCGUAGAAUAAUACAUAUUCGUCUAUUAAGAAUGAGGAAUUAAUAAAACAGAAGCAAACCAAGUGAUUGUUUCCUCUGUAGGGAGGACAAGCAAUCUAAGGAUAAGAAAAAGGUUAAAACUUCAAGUUAUCCCAAAGCGAACAAAAAGAAGUAUAAAAACUUAUUAAAAUCUAAGUAUUUUUAUCAACAAGUGUUGGUUACAAUGGUAAGGUAUAUUGCAUUGCAGACGACAUUGUUGGAAGGGACAGUCAUGAACCUAAAACAUAGACCAUAAAACAUACAUGAAUAAUACCCAAAAAAAAGUCCAAGUGUUUCUUUUGUAAUAACAAAAAGAGCACUGCAAGGAAAAAUGCAAAGAGUGUAAGGAUUACCUAGCCUCUAAGGGUGAAGGUAUGAAACUUGAUUAUUGAAACUUGUUUAGCAAAAGACUUAAUAGACCACUAAGUCAUUGAUUAUAGAGUCACUAGUCAUGUUUGUAUUUCUUUGUAGGGGUUUAAGGAAACGAAAAAUCUUCAGGAUAAGAAUCUACCAUUGCGAACCGGAGAUGGGAGCUAUGUGGCUACAAAAACAAUCCGAGAAGUACAUCUUUAUUUUGAUAGUUUUAAGAAGAUUGCUUUGGGAGAUGUUUUCUAUGUACCAAACUUUAGAAGAAAUGUAAUUUAUAUUGCAUGUUUAUUUAAAGACGAUUAUACUGUGACUUUCUGUAAUGGUAUUGCAAUUCAUAGAAAUCAAUCUCUUAUCUCUAAUGGAGGGAUGCAAAAUAAUAUUUAUUUUAUCAAAUCAAAUAUGCACUUACUGCUAGAAAUUGAACUCGUAAAUAAGAAACUUGAAACUUCUCUCUAAUGAGGCAUACUCAUGGCAUCUAAGACUUUAUCAUAUUAAUGAAGAUAAAAUCAUUAGACUUGUGAAAGAUGAGACUUGAAGUUCACUUAAAAAGGUACAUAUUUCAUAAUGAGAGUCCUUCCUUAAAGGCAAAAUGAUCAAGUGACCUUUUAAUGCAAAAGUUACACAAACCGUUCAACCCUUAGAAUUUGUACACACUGAUGUAUGCGGUCUCAUGAACGUUAGUGCUUGAUAUGGUUACGAUUAUCAUGUAACUUUUAUAGAUGAUUAUUCCAAAUUUGAUUUGGUGUACCUAAUGCACUGAAGAGCGAAAUCUACAAUAAAUUCCAAGAGUUUCAUGCAGAAGUGAAGAAACUAUUAGAUUUUCCCAUUAAGGCACUUCGGUCUAAUCGAGGUGAGGACUACUUGUUAGAAGUCUUCUUAGGAUACCUCAUAGAAAAUGAAAUAUUAUCCUAAUUAAUUAUGUUGGGUACUCCACAAGAGAAUAACAUAGCAGAGAGAAGGAAUAGAACUUCACUAGGCAUGGUUUAUUUAAUGUUAAGUGAUUCACAACUGUCAAUAUUCUUUUGAGGAUAUGCAUUAUAGACAACUUGAUAUAUUUUGAAUGAUGUACCAACUAAGACCAUAUAAAACUCCCUACCAAUUGAUAGAGAAAGAAUCAAGAGUAAAGCAUUUGAGGAUUUGGGGAUUCCUAGCCUAUUGGAAAUAUUAGUCUAGAAAAUAGUAUUUUUAAGCAUAGCAAAAGAUUGAUUUUAUUUUAAAUUGAGCCCUUUUUAUAUUUAUAGUAAUAAAUCCAUAACUGAAAUUAUAUUUGUGUUUUAAACGAGGUGUUUAAAGUCAAUCCCACCUUUCUACCGAAUGAUUUUAUUAGCUAUUCUCGAACCCAAAUUGGUUUGAGUGGGGGCUCUUCAUAGAAAAAAAACAUUUUAUUCACUUUCAAUGGGAAAAUUUUAUAACAGGAAACUAUGCGUUUUCCCUAAAAAAAUAUUCUAUAAUAUAAUAUUUCACUAUUUUCUUAAAAAAUAAAGACGCUCAAUAGAGUGUGUACAAUUGGAAAAAAUUUAGGUUUGAAAACAAUUUUCUUACACAACGAAAAAUUAAAAUCUUGAAAAUUGACUCGGUUUGUGAUUUUUAUAGCAAUAAGCCCUAACCAAAUUCAUACCUGUGUUUUCAGCUUAGCGAAUGUUCGCUAUUCUCGACUUUCAACUAAAUGAUCUUCUAUUCUUGUACCACGAACUUCUUCGAGUGUGGGCUCGAACCAAUUGAAUCGAAACACAGAACUAUAAAAAGUUUUCUCUUUUAUUUAGGGUUAAAACAAAAUUUCUCUCUUCUUUAAUAGAAACUGGUAGAAUUCUUAUUCAGGAAAAAUAUGUUUAGUAGUUGAUAAUAAAUUCUCUUUAUUUUUUGGUAGAGUAACAAUCUCUCAAAGUUGUGUAUAAUACCAUACUAUUGUCAUCUAUUUAUAAGAAGAAAAGGUAGAACCAUUGUUUUGUUGUAGUGGUUUAUUUUAAAUAGAAAAAUAAUUUCUUAAUUAGAGUAGUAGUGGGGUGGACGACACACCCUAGUAUUCCUACUAGGGUUGUCACCCCCUUCAUGUUAUAUGAGGGGUUUUGGGCCUCUCUCACACCGGGUCCAAUUACGAGUACUUCUUAAACCUUUUGAAUCAGUACUCUAUAAUGUGAUCCAACUAGAUUUGGUUUUUCUAUUUACCAAAAUAAACUUUAAUAUUCUAUAUUAAAAAAAUUUCUCAUCCCUAUUUUACCCCCAAUAAAAAUUUAACGAUUUUCCCCAUUGUAAAAUUUUUGGCAAUUUUUCUCCUAAUAAAAGUUCGAGAAUAUAUAUUCAAUAUUUCAUAACUCAACAUGUUCACUGUGACUAAAUGAUUUAUUUUCAUUUUUGGGCUUCAAAAUAACUCAAAAAUAUAAACUUGUUUUUCCAAUCAUUUUUAAGUAAUCCAUAUAGAAUUGCAAAUGGAUCAUUUCCAUUUCCAUUUCUAUUUCCAUUUUUUGAAACCUACAUUCAUUUAAAAAUGAUUCCAUUUUUUCAUUUUGAAAAAAUCAUAAUCAUUCAUGAAUGUUUUUCAUUUCUCUUUUGCUUUUCAUUCUAUUCAUUUCUAUUCAAACUCGCAAUUCAUUUCUAAUUUCAACAAGCUAGCAGAAGGACUGAUUGUAUAUAUGUAAUUAGGGCUGAAAUGAUUUGUAAUUAAGUUUUCGCUUACCGCCUGUUACUUAUAAACACAUUUCGUCACAAAUUCAUUCCACUAUAGUAUCGUUAUUGAGCUCUACCUAAAGGCAUACCAUUACAAAAGCAACUACUUUAGUGCUCGUCCAAUGACAUUUUCAUAAGUGUGUCACCCUCAUAGGAUAUCCUUGAUCUUUUUGGGAUAAUAUCUGCUCUCCCAAUAUGAUCCUUUUUUUUCUCAUGGUAACCAUUACAUCUUCCUUCAUGAAAAAUCAUUCACUAUUGUCGAAACCAUUUUUUUGAUAAAACGGGUUCGACUUAAAUUGUGAAAACGAAAAUGGAGUCGCCACCGAUCCUUUUUGUUAGGUGUGAUCGGAUCACCUCGUAAUAGUUGUUUUAACAAAAUAUUUCGAUUUUAUCAAAACAAUGAUUUUGGUCUGGGAGUCGGUUACGCACGAGGAAGGGUUAGCACCCUUGAUGCGCCCAAAAAUUGGUACCUAAUCGAUUAAUAGAUGUCUAAAUGCCGAAAGUUGAAAUUUUUAAAAAAAUUUAAAAUACGAUCUUUUUUUAUUAAUGUAAGUUUAGAAAAAUCAUUUGAGCAAAUUAAAAAAAGAUCACAGACCCGCUUAUACCAAAGUAACGAAAUAUUGCAUCACGUAAGUUAGGACGCGGUAUUUGAAACUUUAGAGAAUAAGCUUGUCUUGAAUUUUAUUUAUAUUUCAUAUUUUGAAAUUUAGGAAGACAUUUCGCUGUUUAGGUUUGAUGAGAAAAAUUGAAACCCCGUGAGUUAGAGCACGAUUUCUUGGGUUACCUAAACGCGAACCGUUACCUUAUAAUGAAAUUUUUCAUUUUUGAAAUUUUAAGAAGGAUACUUUGUUAUUUAGGUUUAGCGAUAAAAUCGAAACCCCGUAAGUUAGGGUACGAUCUCUCGAAAACGCAAAGUUAUUGCCUUAUCGAGAUUCCUUUCAAUUUUUUUGAAAUAUUUUAAAAGGAUAUUUUGUUAUUAGUUUUAACGAGAAAGACCAAAACCUCGUAAUUUAGGGCACGGUUUUUUUCGUAUUUCUAACAUGCAAAAUAUUUCUUUAUUUUGGGAAAUUUUUCUUUUUGAGUAAAUAUGAAUAAAAUACUUAAGGGGCACAUGUGUAGUUCAUUAUGCUUUCAAAGAAAUCGUUAACACGUAAAAGGAACUAUACAUGGCUAUUAAUAAUAAUACAACAUACAUUGAAACAAAGGCCUAAUAUGCAUCAUAAAAUAAAAAUGUUUUAAUAAUACAACAUACAUUGAAACAAAGCCUAGCCUUGGAACCUCGUCGUCGUCUGCCGCAUCUUCACUGCAACACCACCGAGGACAGUGGCCGGAGAUAUGCGAGAAAAGGGCUUUUUAGCCCGUGCCCGUAAGAAAAGAAGAACAAAAAGGGGUUCUUCAUCGUCCCCUUCUUAAAACGAAGCCCAGGUACGUUUCUUUACUUUUUUUAUAUUUUUGAAUGUAUAUAAAAGAAUAAUAAAAAUAUUAAAAAGAAAAUUGCAUAAAUAUUGAAAACAGAAAAACGAAAGUACAAAAUCACCUUAGUUUUUGCUUUUUUAUUUCUAAUGUGCGUAAAAAUAUACAACGAGAAUAUUUUGGCUUUUAUAGCCAGGUUACAGCCCUUUAAUUUCUAUCUUUUUGUCAUCUUGCUAUUUAAAUUCUCUGUUGUUGCAUGUGGUUCGUUUUGCAGAUGUCAGACACGUGGAUGGCCAAUGAUAUGUGAGUCUUGAGCGAUGUCGGCGUGCGCGAGGGAGGCUGGCAGAACGUGAGGCACUGGGGCAGUGGGCAGAGGCGUACGGUGCUGAGGCAUUAGGCAGAGGCGUGCAACGCCUUAGGGUUUGCUUCUCUGCUGAAUGUUUGUUGUGGGCUGAUGUUGAUUUGGGCUUAAGGUUAUUAAUUGGUCUUGGGUUGUUGUUUGGGCUGGAUUUUGGGCUUGUUUUUUAUUUAUUAUUUUUUGGUUUUAUUUUCUGGUUUUGGCACUGGGCCCGGGUAAAAUUGGGCUAUUAUAACUAUCAAAUAAUGAUCAAGUCAUCCAUCACAUAGAGGAACGACAUGUUGCCACGUUUACUUUUAAUCAACCAUGUAAUGCAUAUGAGAUGAUAUCAUUUAUCCAUGUCUCGACCUAUGACUUUCACUAUUGUGAAUGACGCUAUAUACUGAAGAAGUCAUACACCCAAUGAAUUAGCUUUCAGUUUCGUAUCUAUUUGAACUCGAGUUUUUACUUACAUCAAAGUGUACAUAAUAAUUGUAACCUUCUCUUGCACUAAUACUCAUGGGGCCACAUAAGUUAGUUUGAACAAGUUAUAGGGGUUUUCUGACCCUUGAUCCUUUUCCAUUAAAAGAUCGCUUAGUUAUCUUACCUUCCAAGCAAGAUUCACAUUGUGGAAGAUCAACUUCUUUAAGCGAACUUAAGAUGUCAUCUUUGACAAGUCUAGUGAGUUUUUCUCAGUUAAUAUGACCAAGUAUCAAAUGCCAAAGGUAUGCAUUAGAGUGAGAAGUUUUAAGUCUUUUAUUUGAUAUUUUAGUCUCAAGUAAUGUGAAAGUCUUUGGUUUGAUAAAAUAAAGAUUAUUGACAUCCACCCAUUACAAUUAAGAUUGUGAGUCCAAAAUAUUACAAUUCCAUUGUUAAAAGUCACGGUCAACAUAAAUUAAGAUUGCGAUUUGAAAAUAUUGCAAUUCCAUUACAGAAACAAGCAACAUAAAUUACAUUUCUUUUGAAAUUUGAUACAUAGAAAACGUCUCUUAAAAUAAUCAUCCUAAAAUUUUCAAAAUAAAGAUGUACAUCUCCCAUUACUUCAUCUACCACACUUGUCCCGUUCCUAGACCACAACGAUAAGCUCUUAUAUCUAAGAUCCUUUCUUUCCUCAAACCCCUAUAAAUAAACACAAACAUGAUUAGAGGCUCCCGAAUCAAUGACAUAGUGCUCUAUUGAAUCCUUCACUAAACAAACUUCUAUCAUCAAGAGUUCCAUGCCUUUAACUUUGGUGGUCAAAUAUUCCUUCCACUAUUUACAUUUUGGCUUGAAGUGUCCUUUCUUGUUGCAGAAGAAGCAUCUAGACUUAGAUAAGUCUUUCAGCUUCCUAGUUCUCUUCCUUUCCACAUAUGGUGGCCUCGAGACCAUAGCCAUGCCUUUCUUAGCACGCUUUGUAACAACCCUUACCCGUCUCUGUCACCUGAUUAGGGUUACGAAAUGCUACCAUACAAAAUAGGAUAGAAACAAGCUAUCACAAUUCAAAUUUUAUUUUUAAAAAAUUAUUCAUUAAAAUCUUGAAAAUCUACAAUAAAUUCCAAGAGUUUCGUGCAUAAGUGAAGAAACUAUUAGAUUUUCCCAUUAAGGCACUUCGAUCUAACCAAGGUGAGGAAUACUUAUUAAAAGUCUUCUUAGGAUACCUCAUAGAAAAUGAAAUAUUAUCCUAAUUAAUUAUGUCGGGUACUCCAAAAGACAAUAACAUAGCAGAGAGAAGGAAUAGAACUUCACUAAGCAUGCUUUAUUCAAUGUUAAGUGAUUUAAAUUAGUUCUAAACAAUAGUAUAUUGUCAAAAUUUGAAGCACAAUUAUAACUAUUUCAUAUAAACAAGUCUACCAAUUCUAAUUUAUUAAACAAAAAUUAUCUUAAUUAAAAUGUUAUUUCAAUAAAAUGUUUAAAUUUCACCUAAAAAAAUCUAUUAAUCAUAUUUUAUUAAAUGAAAAUAAUCUUCAAUGAGUGGAAUUAAAUAUAUCAAUUCAAUAAACUAUUAUGUUCCCUGAUUAAAUACUUUACUAUGAAUUUGGAACAUUAUAAACUUAUAAAUUCAUUACUUGAAUUUAAUAACUUAUUAUUAAUUAAUUUAUUUAUUUAAUUUGAUAACUUAUAUUGAUUAAUUGAACUUGUUAGAUUUAUGAACAACAUAAUUAGUCAUGUGAAAGAAUGUACAGUAAAAGAUGCAUAAAAAUAAUAAUGUGUGCACCAACUAUAUGUUUUUUUUUAAUUUUGUUGUUUGGAUCUUUAAUUCUUUUUUUCUGAACAUAAUUUUUAUUUUUUUAUUUGAUGGAAGUACAUAGUAUAAAUUUUAUGCAAGUGUAUAACAAUUGUCUUUCUAUACUAGACAAAUUCUUGAAUAAAGUUAUUAUACAGAAGGUUCGACUGUUUAAUCAAAAUCUAAAGUCUUUAGUGAAAUCAUCUAGGCCUUCAUUAUCGUAUCUUACGCCCCAUUACAUGAUUGGCGGGCCGAUGAAGCAAAUGAGAAUGUUGACAAGCAGGAUUUGCACUAUUUUUUCUCUUAAUUUAUCCAAUUCUCUAUAAUAGUCACCCGUUAUAAUAAUAUUUUAUUAUAAUAGUUAAGUUUCUAGUGGAAUCAGUUUUUUUAUGUUUUAUUUUAAUCUUGUAUAAUAGCAAGAGAUACCAAUGUCCCAAGAAUUAAUUUUUCCUAUAGGACAUGCUUUCAGUUAUGUUAGCUAUAGGACGUGUUUUGGUAUAAAUUAACAAUUCAACUUUGUUGGUUAGAUGGUUAAAUAUUAAUAUUUUUGUUCUUAAAUUUCGUGUUUGAUUCGUCUUCUACUCAAGGACAAAAGUAUUAACAUUUAACCAUCUGAUCAAAAGAGUUGCGUUAUCAAUUUUUAGGAUGCGCUUUCAGCUGAUAUGACUGAAAGCAUAUCCCGUAGGUCACGUUUUUCUUUCUUUCUCCAAAAACAACAUAUUUUUUUUCUUUUUCAGCAUAUAUACAUAAAUUAGCCUUUUAAACCAUACUUGAGUAUCAAAUAAUAUUUCAGUAUUUUUUAUAGGAAAUGUUUAAAUCAAAUAACUAAAAAGAGAAUAAAAAACUCAAAUGUAAAAGGGUUGAUGAGAUUAUUCAUAAAUACGAAAUUUGUUUUUAUAAAUAUACUUACAUAAAUACAUAAUGGAUGUGACAUAGUUGAUGUUUGUUUUUAUUUUUCAUGUGUAGCACUAUCAAAUCUACUUGCACCAAAAUUCUAACCCAUACGAUAAUUCAUUACUUUAGUUGGCGCAGCAAAUAAUGAGAGCGGGAUUUGUGCCCAAAAUUAUCUUAUUUUCCAUUGUGUGAUUGGAUGACAACUUCCAUCCCUCCAUGCCUCAAAUAUCUAAACAUACAUUGAAAUCAAUUUUUCUUAUAUUUCUUAAUUCCUUUACUUCUUAACAAUUCUCCCUCUUUGUCUCAGAUUUAUGUAUAAUUUAUCAAGAGUCUACCUUUUUUUUAAUUCUUAAAUCUAAAAUCUUAAUAUUAAUCACUUCAAAUAUUCAUAUAUAAUGGGCGUCGAAAAUAAGUUUUAUAUACCACUAACUAGUUCACUUUCCAAGUAAGGAUAUAAGUCCCAAUUGUUGACACCAUUUUUUUUAUUCAAAACGGGGUUGACUUGGGGUUUUGAAAAAUGAAACGGGAGUCGCCACCAAUCUUUUUUUAUGAGGUGUGAUUGGAUUACCUCGAAAAGUGGUUGUUUUUAAUAAACGGUUUGAUUUGAUUAAAACAAGUUUGGUCCACGAAAUUCAGAAAACGGGUUCGGGAGUCGGUUACGUACGAGGAAGGAUUAGCACCCUCGUAACACCCAAAAAUUGGUACCUAGUUGAUUAACUAAUGUCUUGAUGUCGAAAAUUGAGAACUUUGACGAAUUUUAAAAAUACGAUCCUUGUAUUAAAACGUUGAAAAUUUCCAGGAAAAGGGGCAUAUUUCACGUUAUUCGAGAAAGAGGAUCAUAUCCAGUAAGUUAGGACACAAUGUCUCGAAUUCUCGAUACGUAAAUGAAUGCCAAAAUUUUACUUAUUUAAAAGACAUUUUAUUAUCUCGAGUUUAGGAAAGGGAUCAUGCCCAGUAAGUUAGGGUACGAUUCUCUCGAAUCUAAACACGAAAUAAUAUUUAUUCAAAACAAAUUUUGUUAUAUCGAGUAAAAUAAAACAUGAAAAUCGUAGUAAAAACAUGUGAAAGCAAAUUACAUUGUUAUGAUGCAUAGCUGAACCAUAAUGGGUACGAAAAUAUGAAAAUGAUACAAACAAUAGCACAAUAUAAAAUAAAUAAAAGGUUAAAUCUACAACGUUCAAAAUAACGAUCAUAUAUAAACGAAUUAAAUUAAAGCAUGCAUCCGAAAUAAUAAUGAAGAUGAAGUAAAUAAAUACUGAAUACAAUUCAAAAUGUAAAGAGGUAUGUAUACGUAUGUAAAUAUAAAUUAAAAUAUGUAUGCAUAUGUGAAUUAUAAAAUAUGUAGAAAAUACCUAUGUAGAAUAUAUUUUAAAAUAUAAAGAAUAUAAAAAAGUACAUAUAGGUGUAAGUAUGUAAAAUUAUGAAACAUAAAGAAUAUAUAAAAAAUUGUAUAUUUUUUGAAAGUAUGAAGUGUAUGCAAGUAUGUGUAUAUAUAUAUAAUAAAGGUGUAUGAAAGUAUAUUUUAUACACGUGUAUUUAUAAAAUGUGUAUAAAUAUAUAUUGAUUUACCAAUACAUAUGGAUAUAUAAUUAUAGAAUAUAUAUAUAAAAUAUUUACAUAUAUACGUUUAUGCGUAUAUAAAAGUAAGCUAUUAUAAAAUAUGAGCAAGCAUAAUACAUAUAUAUAGAGAGAAUAAAAAUGAAGUUGAAAACAAUAUAAAACUACUUAAUAUAUUAAUAUAAUAGUAACAAAAUAAAUAAACAGAAAAUAAAGCUAAUAAUAAUUAAUAAUAGUAGUAAUAAUAAUAAUAGUAAUAAUAAUAAUAAUAACACUAAAAUAAUUAAUUAAACAAUAAAAUUGCUAAAAAGGGUUUAAAUUGAAAUAAAAACCUAAAUACUGGGCGAUUUUGAUAUAAAUAAAAACUAAAAGGAUUAAAUUGCAACACACGCCAAACAUAGAGGGACCAAAAUAGUAAAUAAGCCGAAGCCCCGAAACGCGGCGCAACAGUGGGCCAAAUUGGAACAAAAAUAAAAUUCUGGGGCUAAAUUAAAAAUAAAAGGAAAUAGCGAAAUAGGACCAAAUUAAAACACGCCGCAAAUCGGAGGGACUGCACACGCAAAUAUCCCCCUUAUCGAAAACGCGCGGAUCCUCCCCAAGGUCGGGUCACCGCGCGGGUCAGAGACCAAAAUGACACCGUUUUGGUCUCUGAACCCUAAAUUCAAAAACGGCACCGUUUUACAGGGUAUUUAAACCCAUUUUUACAUCAAAAAAACACUUCAGCCGUUUUUAAAAAAAUAUAAAAGGGGAGCCCCUUUUCUCCCUAAGAAGUCCGGCCAUGUGGGUUUCCUUGGCCCCUGUUGCACCGCCGCUCGGCUCGCCGCACCGCCACCACCCCGACGACUGGCGAAGCGCCAGAAAGACGUUCAAAGCCCCAUCCUCCGGUGAGUUUCCUUUUUCCUUUCUUUUUUUUGAUUAUAAAUAUAUUAUGUAUAUAUAAGUAGAUGAAUAAAAGAAAAUAAAUAAAUAAAAGGUUUAAAAUCUGUAAAAAUGAAAACAAAAGGGAUCAGAAAUCACCUUUGAAACUUAUCUUUUAUUACUUUGGUAAUAUUUGUAUUUUUUUGAUACCUCAAAUUCUAACCCAAGAAGAAGAAAAAAACGGGGUACAUAUUAGGCUUUUUAUAGCUGAUUUUUGGCUACUGUUUCUGUUGUCUUUUUGUGUUGUUUUCUUUUUUGCAGGUGACCGGCGGCGCAAGUAGGGUGAUUGGAGCAAGUGGUGGUAGGUGCGACGCAGCAGUGGCGGUGGCAGAGGAGGCCAAGGGUCGAAGAGGGCGACGCCUAGGGUUUCAGUCUCUGAAACCCUAGGCUAAUUUUUUUAGAGAAAAUGGACCUGGGCUAUUGGGCUCCGGGUUUGGGUUAGGGGCAUUUAGGUUUGGGCUGGGUCUGCUGGGUUUGGUUUAAUUGUAAUUGGGCUUGGUGUAUUUGGGUAGGUUAAUUUGAAUUAAGCUUGGGCAUUGGGCCGGGCAAAAUAUGGGCUUCACAGCUGCCCCUCUUUGCUCGUUGUCGUGUAACGAGAACAGAGAAAAGACUAAAAAAGACCAAUUUUGCCCGGUCUCACCGGAUUUCGACUUCUUUUGACGCUUCUCUUCUUCAAGUAGCCACAUUUCAAUCCACUGUGUCUUGUCGCUUCAAUCCGCUCUACUGCACUUCAGCAAGAUCUGACUUGUAGCUUCAAUCUUCUUCAUAGCAACUUCAGGAGACGAGAUUCAUGGUUUUGGUCUACUCCACUGCAACGUCAGGGAGAUAAGGCUGGAUGCGAUCUGCUCUACUGCAACUGCAGAGAGAUAAGUUCUGUGGUUUUAAAUCCGCUCCACUGCAACUUUAGGGAGAUAAGAUUGGCUUCUUCUGUCUGUUUAACUGCAAUGUCGGGGAAGUAAGAUUCGCCAUCAUAACUUCAAUCUGUUUGACUGCAAUGUCGGGGAAGCAAAAUUUGCUGUCGUAGCUUCAAUCUGUUCCACUGCAUCGCCUGGGAAGUAAGAUUCGCCGUUGUGGCUUCAAUUUUUUUAAUUGCAAUGUCGGGGAAGUAAGAUUCACCAUUGUAGCUUCAAUAUGUUCCGCUGCAUCGCUUGGGAAGUAAGAUUCACCGUUGUGGCUUCAAUCUUUUGAAUUACAAUGUCGGGGAAGUGAGAUUCGCCAUUGUAGCUUCAAUCUGUUCCGUGGCAUCGCUUGGGAAGUAAGAUUCGCCGUUGUGGCUUCAAUCUUUUGAAUUGCAAUGUCAGGGAAGUGAGAUUCGCCAUUGUAGCUUCAACUUAUUCCGCUGCAUCACUUGGGAAGUAAGAUUCACCGUUGUGGCUUCAAUCUUUUGAAUUGCAAUGUCGGGGAAGUGAGAUUUGCCAUUGUAACUUCAAUCAUUGUAGCUUCAAUCUGUUCCGCUGCAUUGCUUGGGAAGUAAGAUUCGCCGUUGUGGCUUCAAUCUUUUGAAUUGCAAUGUCGGGGAAGUGAGAUUUGCCAUUGUAGCUUCAAUCUGUUCCGCUGCAUCGCUUGGGAAGUAAGAUUCGCCGUUGUGGCUUCAAUCUUUUGAAUUGCAAUGUCGGGGAAGUGAGACUCGCCGUUGUAGCUUCAAUCUGUUCCGCUGCAUCGCUUGGAAAGUAAGAUUCGCCGUAUGAUCUGUUCUUUGGGGAACAUGACCUAUAUGAACCUAUUUAUGCCUAGUGAUCAUGAUCGAAAAUGAAUCAGAAUAUCCUGGCUAAAUGUGUAUGCAUGAAUGCAAAAUGAAAAUGAUCUUUCAAUGUUUGAGUUAUUAUUGUCCCUUGCUCAAUAAGGUCUUUUUGCCAACGCGUCCGAAUGCUAUCUUGUCCGGUUGGUAAUGCUCAUCUCUUACUUGGUCAGAUUGCCCCAACUAUAAUCUUCAAAGUUCAACUCACUGAAUGCAAAAUGUGAAUCAUCUUUCUCCCUCUGUGACCCAAUAAUAGAAAGACCUGGCCUUUUCUCGUUCCUCUGUUAUCAUAAUUCAAUGAUACAGAAUGUGAAAACUCUUUGGUCUCCUACACUAUUCCCAGGGUGUCAUACCAAAUGUUUAUACACAAUUGCAAAAUUUUCUCCAAAAAAACCUCUUUUCAUCACUUGGUGAUUAUUGAAGCUUUGUCACCAAUAUGACAUCUUGCCAUUUUGUUUAAUCCAUGUUUGGACAACAAAGUUUGAAAGGAUAGUCCUAUCUUAGACUUUUUCCUUUUAGGCACUUUAGAUUUGGUGUGUUCUAAACAACAGUCCUGUUUCAGGUUCCUUCAUUUUUUAGAAAUUUCUAGAGUAAUAUGCAAAACUCCUUUUGCUUGAACAUUCAGUCCAUUAAUCGUUAUUUCAAAUGUUUUGAACAAGAUUAUCACAAUGGACCAACAAAAAUGUUAUUGAGAACAAAUCUCAAAAUGAAUAAGUUAGUUAAGAUGACAAAUUUUGCUAAGAUAAAAAACAAUAGAUAAAAUGGAAUUUUAUUGGGGAGCAAAACUUGAAAUGAAUACAUUAAUCAAGACAACAAAUUUUGCCAAAAUUCAAAAUAUAUAAGAUGACGACAGGUGCCCUAGAUAUCGCAGCAUGAGCUUCUCUGCAUAAGCUUUAAUAUGUGUUUAGGGAAUCUACAAUAUUUUGUCGAUGCCCCAAGAUGUCGCCUAUCCUUUCUUACUGAUUCAAGUAUAGUGAGACCUCCACAUGCCCCAGAUCUUGAUCAAAAUUUGAGCUAUUUCGUUCACUUCAUACCUCAUCAAAAUUUGAGUCGCCUUUUUUAGGUUUUCAACUCAAAUCCCCUUUGGUCUCAAGGCGCCCUUUAUGGGUUUUCACCUUGGCCUCUCCUUUUUUUUAAGCGAAAUAUUUCUUGACUGAAUUUGAGUUUACAGGAUUUGGCAGGUUUUUACCAUCCAUCUCGCUCAAGAUCAAAGCUCCUCCAGAAAAGGUCUUUUUUACCACAUAAGGACCUUCCCAAUUUGGCAUCCAUUUUCCUCAAAAAUCUUUUUUUAGAGGAAGAAUUAUUUUCAAAACCAGGUCCCCCUCGUAAAAUUCUCUGGGAUGAACUUUUUUGUUAUAGGCUCGUAUAAUUCAUUUCUGAUACAUCUGACCGUGACGAAUAACUUUUAACCUCUUUUCUUCUACCAAGUUUAGCUAGUCAUAUCGAGAUUGAAUCCAUUCAGCCUCAUCUAACUUUAGUUCAGCUAAUACUCGGAGAAAAGGGAUUUCUACUUCUAUGGGUAAAAACGCCUCCAUUCCAUAGACUAAAGAAAACGGUGUUGCCCCAGUAGAGGUCCUAAUGGAGGUACGAUAUGCCAGGAGGGCGAAAGGUAAUUUCCCGUGCCAGUAUUUGUAGGUUUCAGUCAUUUUCCCUACAAUUUUCUUGAUAUUUUUGUUAGCUGCUUCUACGGCACCAUUCAUUUUUGGGUGAUACGGUGACGAAUUAUGAUGUCUGAUCUUGAACUGACUGCAAACUUCUGCUAUUAAGUUGUUGUUCAAGUUCAGCGCAUUAUCGGAUAUGAUCUUUUCAGGCAUCCCGUAUCGACAUAUGAUCUCUUUUUUUAGAAACUUGCUAACCGCUGACUUCGUGACAUUAGCAUAUGAAGCAGCCUCCACCCAUUUAGUGAAAUAAUCAAUAACCACAAAGAUAAAACGAUGCCCAUUAGAAGCCUUUAGAGAUAUUGGCCCGAUGACAUCCAUUCCCCACAUGGAGAAAGGCCAUGGAGAAACCAUAACAUGAAGGGGUGAAGGUGGUGCAUGCAUUUUGUCACCAUAAAUCUGACAUUUAUGGAACUUUUUGGCAUAAUUAAUGCAAUCCCCUUCCAUGGUUGACCAAUAGUACCCAAAUCUCAUAAUUUGUUUAGCCAUCGUGAAACCAUUGGCAUGCGUCCCACAGAUACCUUCAUGUACUUCUUCCAAAAUUUUCUUGGCCUCGACAGCAUCCACACAUCUCAACAAUACUUGAUCUUUUCCCUUUUUGUACAAGAUAUCCCCAUCUAGGACAUAAUCAAUGGCUAAUCUCCUUAACGUCCUCUUAUCAUUUUCCGUCGCAUGGUCGGGGUAUUCACGACUUUUUACAUAUCGCAAUAUGUCCUGAUACCAGGGGUGAUCAUCUUUUUCCUCUUCAUCAUCAAUAUUGUAACAAUGGGCUAGAGUCUCAUGAAUACUAAUCUGGAUAGGCUUCAUAUCUUCUGGUUUGUUCACUUUGAUCAUAGAGGCUAGAGUGACCAAAGCAUCUGCCAUCUGGUUUUCAUCUCGUGGGAGAUAAUAAAUGGUGACACUGACAAAUUCCUCAAUCAAUUCCAAGACCAAUUUUUGAUAACAGACUAACUUCGGGUCUUUCAUUUCCCAUUCCCCUUUUAGAUGGUAAAUUACUAAUGCGGAGUCCCCGUAUACCUCUAGCACCUUAAUUUUCCGCUCUAUGGCUGCCCGGAUGCCAAUAAUGCAAGCUUCAUACUUAGCCAUGUUAUUUGUGCAAUCAAAGUCCAAUUUGCUAGUGAAAGGGUAAUGAUCUCCAGUAGGGGACACAAGUAUUGCCCCAAUUCUGUUGCCUAUAGCAUGUGAUGCUUCGUCAAAAUUCAGCUUCCAAGGACCACCUUCUUGAAAAUCUUUUUCUGCAAUUGCAACAUACAUCAAAUCCUCAUUUGGGAAAUCGAAGUUUAGUGGCUCGUAAUCCUCCAGAUCUCUACUUGCCAGGAAGUCCGCUAUUGCACUCCCUUUUACCGCCUUUUGGUUCACAUAGACUAUGUCAAAUUCAGAUAGAAUAAUUUGCCAUCGGGUCAUUCUCCCAUUCAGAGCAGUUGACUCCAUCAGGUAUUUUAGAGGGUCCAACUUAGAGAUUAACCUGGUUGUAUGGUACAACAUGUAAUGUCUCCAAGUUGUCCAGAUCAGGGCACAACAUAGCUUCUCAAUUGGCGAAUAUCUCGUUUCGCAUUCAGUGAACUUCUUGCUGAGAUAGUAGAUUGAUCUUUCUUUUCGUCCUGACUCAUCAUGUUGACCAAGCACGCAUCCCAUAGAAUUUUCAAAUACUGCCAAAUACAGUAUGAGCGGCUUGUCUGGCAGGGUGGCAUCAGCACUGGGGCGUUGGACAAGUAAUGUUUGACUUUUUCAAAAGUUUUCUGACAUUCCUCAUCCCAUACUCCUGGAUUGUGUUUCUUAAGGAGACGAAAUAUAGGGUCGCAUUUCUCGGUUAGCUGUGAAACGAACCGAGCGAUAUAGUUUAGUCUUCCUAGAAAACCUCGAACCUCUUUUUGAGUACGUGGUGGAGGUAAUUCUUGUAUUGCCCUUACUUUGUCAGGAUCAAUCUCAAUUCCUCUCUCACUGACCACGAACCCCAGCAAUUUUCCUGAUCUGACUCCGAAUGUGCAUUUCGCUGGAUUUAGUUUUAGCUGAAAUUUUCUCAACCUUGUAAAUAAUUUCUUAAGGACCUGCACAUGUUCCUCUUCUGUUUUAGACUUUGCAAUCAUGUCAUCAACAUAGACUUCUAACUCUUUAUGCAUCAUAUCAUGGAACAGUGUUACCAUGGCCCUCUGAUACAUUGCCCCCGUAUUUUUCAACCCAAAUGGCAUCACUUUGUAACAAAAGGUCCCUCAUAGGGUUAUGAAUGUAGUUUUCUUCAUAUCCUCAGGAUGCAUCUUGAUUUAGUUAUAUCCAGAGAAACCAUCCAUGAAAGAAAACAGCGAAUGCCCUGCUGUGUUGUCUACCAAGGCGUCGAUGUGCGGCAAGGGGAAGUUAUCUUUUGGGCUAGCCUUAUUUAAAUCUCUAUAAUCUACACACAUCCACACCUUCCUAUCCUUCUUAGGGACAGGUACGAUAUUGGCUUCCCACUCGGAAUAUUUGACCACUUGCAGGAAUCCAGCAUCGAAUUGCUUUUGCACCUCCUCUUUUAUUUUUAAUAAAACAUCAGGCCUCAUUCUUCGGAGUUUUUGCUGAACAGGCUUGUAAUCUGCCUUUAUAGGAAGACGGUGAACUACGAUAUCAGUGCUUAACCCAGGCAUAUCUUGGUAUGACCAUGCGAAGACAUUUUUGAACUCUCGAAGCAACUCAAUGAGGUCUUGUUUUACUUCUUCAGUUAUGCACGUGCCAAUCUUCACCACCUUUCCCUCUUCUAGGGUCACCGUCUCUACCGUCUCCUCAUGAGGCAGGAUUUAUUUUUCUUCCUGCUCUACCAUCCUCAAUAGGUUCGGAGAUAGGUUGCAAUCUGUGUUAUCUUCAAAAUCUUGAGAUUGCUCUAAACACAUAUCUCGGUCAAAAGAAUUUUCUGAGUCCAUAGUAGAGUCACUCAUGUCAUUGAUAUCUUGGGACCUGUUAUGGGUACCGAAGAAUGUACAGGGAAUGUAUGAAUUUAAAAGUUCUUAUUUAGUAUGAUUAUGAAUUAAUGAAUGAAUGAUUUGGAAUAAAAGGCAUUCAAGAUGACUAUUCAUGCGAAAUAAUGAAAAGAGUUUCAAAAUAAUAUAUACUCAAAAAGAAAAUACGAUGAUAUAUUUCAUUGAAGUCACAAUGUUCAAACAUAAGCCCAUUUCAUUUCACAAAAGUUUUCAUUUUCUCUAGGCUUAAACAGUUAGUAUGUCUUGAAUAUUACUCUGGAAAAGCUCUAAAAACUUCAGGCAUUUCUUCUGCAGUCCAAUUGUUUAAAACACUCCCAGGUUCAAAGGGACAGAUGCCUGAUGUACUUCCUUCUUUAGAUUCUUCUUCAAAUAUGGCAUUGAUGUUCAGGUUUCCUAACAUCUCCUCUGUGGUAUUCUCUCUUGGAAUCCUUAGUCUAGAAUACAUGGUCCCUCCCGAUACGAAGGUCCUGGAUAAGUGGGGAAAAGCCAUAGGUUCCCAAUCAACUUUUUCUCCAUUCAAACGCGCCUUCCUCCUCUCUUGUCUUUUCUCCAACUCUUUUGUUCUUUGCUUGGCAUUUGGCUUAAACCCUAAACCAAAACGAUCUUGUUUGUCCUUCACCACUGGUGCGUCUAUCCUUUCUUGAAGACAUCUUUCCAGUCCUCUUCCAGGCACAGGUCCUUUCCCAACUGUCAUUCGUAGUCCCAUCCUCGUGGCCCUAAAUAUGCUGGGCAUCAGGAUCUUCUUUCCCUCAAUGACAAAGGUCGCAUUUACGAACUCUAGGGAUCAAAAGGAACAUUCGACCGCCUCAUCAUUCAUUCCCAAGUACGGUGCAUCACUUGUUACCGAUGCAAUGAUGUCUUUGUCAGCAUUAAUCGUAAUCAACCGGCCUUCUGUUACCAAUUUCAACUUCUGGUGCAAUGAUGAAGGCACCGCCCCCGCUGAAUAAAUCCAGGGUCUUCCCAACAAGUAAUUAUACGAAGGCUUGAUAUCCAUUAAUAAGAAGUCCACCUCGUAUGUAUUCGGGCCAAUCCAGAGAGGUAUUUCUAUUCUUCCUAUUAUGCUCAUUUCAGUACCAUCAAAUGCCCUCACUAUGUUCUGGCAUGAUUUCAUGUGGGAGCUGUCCACCGGCAAUCUGCUUAAGGUGGAUAGGGGCAAGACAUUCAGGGCUGAUCCAUUAUCAAUCAACACACCUGGUAACAUAUAUUCUCCGCAACGAGUGGUGAUAUGUAAGGCUUUGGUGGCUCCUCUCCCUCCCGGCGAUAUUUCAUCAUCAUUAAAGAAAAUGAAAUUGUUGGCACUUAUAUUGCUAACCAAUCGGUCCAACUUGUUCACUGAGAUAUCAUGUGCGACAUAAGUUUCAUUUAGCACCUUAAUCAACGCAUUACGAUGUAUUUCUGAACUUAGAAGUAAUUCGAGCACUGAGAUACGAGCCGGUUGCUUAUGUAAUUGUUCUACCACGCUGUACUCGCUGUGUUUCAAGAAUUUUAGAAAUUCUCUAGCCUCAUUUUCAGUUACCGGCUGAUUGACAUGGGAUUCAACUUUGUCUGUUUUUACUUUUUCCAGCUCAACUGCUAAGGCUUUUCCUUUUCUAGAUUCCACUUUUGCACUUGCCGGAUCAUAGCGCUUUCCACUUCGUGUAUAGAAUCCUUCAUUUUCUUCUGAAGCAUUUACCAAGCUCUCUUUUCCUGGAAUUGUCACAUUGCAGUUGUAAUUUCAAGGAACCUUUUUGCUAUCCUUGUAGGGAAAGGAUACAGGUUUUUGGAUUAUGACCUUUGGCGUUGUCUGUAUUCCGGAUUCUGUGUUCAUUGGCUUUGAAAUAAUAACCACUGGGUGGUUAACCUCUUGGGCUUUCUUCGCAGAUCCUUCCUCUGAAGCACAAACUUCUCCCUCUUCUAGUCCCUUGAUUUCUUCAUAAAACUCCAAUUCUUUGUUGUCCAUUAAGUUUUGCACCAUGGUUCUGAACUCGGUGCAUUUUUGGAUGUCAUGGCCUUCUUCUGCAUGGAACUCACAUAACUCCCUUGCUCAUUCAUGCCUUUCUACCGAAUCUUGCUUGAUGAGACCUUUUUUCACCAUUUGUUUCCAAACCCAUCCAAGAGGGGUCCUUAUCUCAGCUAUGUUUGCCUUGACUCUCCUUUCUUUCUCAAUUAUCGCGUUCACCCCUUUACUAUCAUGAGUGGGCAACGGAUUCUCUGCUACAUUUGGUCCAGAUGAUUCACCAAUCUUGACGAUCCCCAAAUUGAUAAGUUUUUCAACUAACUUCUUGAAUGCAGUGCAAUUCUCAAUCGAGCGCCCCUUAGUCCCUACGUGAUACUCGCAUUGAGCGUUUGCGUCAUACCACUUAGGGUACGGAGGUUGCAUAGGUUUCAGGUAAAAUGGGGAUACCACAUGUGCAUCGAAUAAGUUCUGGUACAAUUCUCUAUACAUCACUGGGAUGGGUGUGAAUUGGGGUCUCUCUAUAUUUGGCCUUGGAUUGGAUUCCUGUUUCGAAGAACCCUGCUGAUUAGCGGUUACUAUUCUGCCUUGCCCCAUCAUGAUUGAUUUAGAGUGGUCCUUGUUAAACAUGCUUGUAUUUUUUAUCUCGUACUCCUUCUUUCUUGGUGCUGACCUUUUAGUACUUUCUCCUACUUCUAUCUUGCCACUCAUUAUGGCGUUCUCUAUCAUUUCUCCAGACAUCACUAUGUCUGAAAAGCUCUUAGUGGCACUGCCCAACAUGUGAUUGAGAAAUGGGGCUUUCAAAGUGUUGAUAAAAAGCAUGGUUAUCUCUUUCUCUAAAAGUGGUGGUUUAACUUGCGCUGCUACCUCCCUCCAUCUCUGAGCAUACUGUCGGAAGCUCUCAUUAGGUUUCUUUUCCAUAUUUUGCAAUACAAUUCGAUCAGGUGCUAUAUCCAUCACAUGUCUGUACUGUUUUAUAAAGGCCUGCGCCAAAUCUUUCCACGAAUGGAUGUUGGCCUGACUCAAUUGAUUAUACCAUCUAGCCGCUGACCCGAUCAAACUAUCCUAGAAGCAGUGAAUCAGCAGUUGAUCUUGUUGAUAUACCUAGUCAUUCUUCGAUAAAACAUAGUGAUAUGAGCUUCGGGACAACUUGUUCCGUCAUAUUUCUCAAAUUCAGACAUUUUAAAUUUAGGAGGGAGGACUAAAUUAGGUACCAAGCUCAGAUCUUUAGCGUCCAUUCCUCGGUGGUAAUCAGCAUUUUCCAUGGCUUUAAACUUUUCCUCUAGCCAUUUACACUGGUCCUCUAAUUACUUUGACAGAUCCACUUUCACUUUCUCCACUUCUACCACGUCAUCGAGGUCAGGGACCACGAGAUUGGUAGGAUUCUCCCUGGGAUUAUUACCUAAUCUGAUUUGAAAAUUUAUUGGCAUUAAAGGAUUCGUCUGAAACUACUGAGGUUUGAUUGUAACAGAGGAUCUUUGUGGGUAGAACUCAGCUUGAGUAUGCGCGUGCGGAGGGGUAAAGCCUGGAGGGUAAAGGGGUUCAUCAUUGUUUCCCUCUUCAUUAUUAACUACAAGAUCCUUUCCCUUGUCAUUUCCUCCUUUCAAUAGCUAUGUUAACUUUGCCAUCAUGUCAUUUUGGGAUUCCCGCAUCUUUUCUGUCAUAUCUCGCUGAAUCUUUUCCAAUCGCUCUUGCAUUUGAUCUUGCAUAUCUCUUUGCAGCAGUUCAAGUUUUUCUAAUCUUUGAUCCAUGCUCUUUGAUUUCGCUCAAGUUCCGUAGGGGUGUUGAUUUUCCAGGUUAACUGAAAUAAUUUUAUUUAAUUAGGGUCCUUUAAUGGUCGUUGAUACAUAUGAUGUGAUGCAAUGCAUGAAAUGGAUGCAAAAAGAAAAGGCGUUGACUCUAAUUCAAUUUCAUUUAGAAAACUUUACUGAAAACAAACUUCUUUACAUAAGGUGGAUUACAGAUACGACUUAGCCCUAAUACUUAAAACUCUAAUCUUCCUAAGUAACGAAGCUAGCUCCUGUCCUCGACUUGACUCCAAUUCGUACUUCACGCUCAACACAUCAGCUUCUACUGCUAACAUCCGCAGAUGAUCACCUAUCUCCCGAAUUUGAACCACAGCUUCUCCCAUAAUGUGAUCUCUAUCUCUUACUUGGUUCUGGAAGUAGUGCAACUGCUCGGUUUGACGAUCUUUAUUAGUUUCCAAGUACUUAAUCUGGAUUUCGCAAUUUUGUAAUGCUGCUUCUAACUCUUCAAUUCUUUCUUUCAUUUCUUUAAUUUUAUUUAGGCUUGCCUUCAAUUCCAUCACAAAAUUCUGAUUUCAAUGCCGAUGGAGAGAUCCUUCUAAUUCAGUCACUCUAUUUUCUAGUUCCCUCUUUUCUUUCUGAUUCUCUGACAAACUCCUCUUUAGAGCCUCGUUCUGUGCUUGAACUUUUUGGAACCUCCUUUCCCAUCUAUCGGCUUUGUUUCUUUCUUCUUGAAUCUCCUUGCGCCACUACUCAGAAGUCUUUCCUAAUCCGGCAGUCCUCAUUGAUAACCGCAACUUCUUGUAAUCUAUUUUUAGACUAUCUAGAUCUUCUUCAACCCUAGCUUUUCCUUUUCUUAACCGCUCCACCUCAAGCUUCUGGAUAUCUGCAUCCAAUCUCAAGUUCAUUUUUUCUUCUUCCAUCUACUCUAGCUGCUUUUCCAACUCUGCAUUUCUUCUUUCAAAAUCCUGCUUUAAAAUUCCCAGUUCAGAAGGGACGACUCGUAAAUGUUCCUCUAACGACUGAUUGCCUUUGUGACUGGAUUUGUGGAUAUUGUCAUUGAUUCUUCUGACCCUCCAUUCAUCGUACUCAGGAGUCGUCACUGGUCCUACAGCCAAUCUCUUCAUUCGACGAGUCUGGUUCCACGCAUUGGAUAUCUCUCGAAUCCUCUUUUGGUAGCCAUCACCCCCGUACGCGAAUUCACACCCGGCUAGUCCCUGGGUUACGGGUAUAAACUGUCUUGACCUGUAUUGUCUGAGCACUAAUAACGGGGCAUAACCAAUAGCUCCCCAGAUUCCAAGCAAAUGGACCCAAUAAAAAUCACCACACUGAUACAAAAUUUCGUCUGGAAGUAACCACGGAGCUCUCCACUCAAUGUCCUCUUCUUGCAGGCUCUGAAGAAUUACCAUCCAUUUUUCCAUCGAAAUGUCAUCUCUUCUCAGUGUACCUACUAUCUCCUUUAGUGGCGAAUAGUUUUCAGAGAAGACCCGAUAUGACACAUUAUCCAUUUUCCAAAAAUGACUGUGGAACCACACAAGUAAUAAUUGUGCACAUCCAACGAAUCUGCCUUCACCCGCUCGUCGACAGGCAUUCAAUGAUCUGAAUUUUUCCACUAAAAUUGCUGGAACCGGAGUAACUCCCUUGUUGAGACGGUCGAAUAAAUCAGUGAUUGCCUCAUCAAUAUGCCCCAAAGCUCUGGGGAAGAUAACUAAGCCGUAUAUGCUCAAAGCGAAGACAUCUACCCUUUUUUUUACAUCUGGAUGCACUAGGACCACAUCUUUCAAAUUCCUCCAAGAAAUGCAUUUGUUAUCCCCUUUUUGUUUAAUUCGGGCUGUGACCCACUGCUCACUCAUACCUGUUAUGUUCAUUAACCUUCUAAAAAAGGGUGCAUUUGUAGCUUUCGAGUAGAUUCUGUCGACUUGACUCUUCGAACACCGAAGUAAAGCCAUAUAUUCUUCUAUCGUAGGCACUAAGUCGACUUUCCCAAACGUAAAACAACUGUAGGUGGGGUUCCAAAAUUGUGCUAGAGCCCAGAACAGGUGUUUGUCUAUCUUCAUAUCUAGCAAGUACGGUAAAUCCCCAUAAUCAGAAUAGAACAAUUGUCUGUCCUCCUCGUUCCACUGGUCUCAAAUUUCUUUCAACUCUUGCAAAUUGUUCUAGGUUACGCUGAUACGGGUGAAGUCCCAUAACUCAGAUUCAUAUCCUUCAACCAGACUAUCUCCUUUCUCCCGCUGCGUCGUUUCUGACCAAGUUUGCACCGCCGCAUUAUCUUCCACCUUAUCAAGAAAUCCCCUUUCCAUGAUAAGAUUUCUUUCUAGAAACCAAAUAUGAACCAACGCCUUUUAUAAUGAAAUGGCAUGCAGUUAAAAUGUCAUGCAUCCAAAGUAAAAUAGCAAACAUUAGUAUCAAGUAUAAGUAUACAAUCCAAAGUAAUUCAGAAAGAAUAAAAGCACCUAUCAGGGUAUGUACUAGGGUUCGGUGUAGUUCUACCUAGGGCGAGUCUCUAUAGUUCACUACAUGAGGUUUAGCUCUAAAGUAAGGGUACCUAAACCAGCAGAUUCCUCGAUCUUCACCUACUAUAGGCUCAUAUAGACCGAGUUCGGUUCAGGGGAAUACAUUUCCCUAUGGCUGCACAGAGAUGAAAAUCUCACGAAGACAUAGGUACAGAUGUAUCCCGGAAGCGAUCAACUGUCCUGCACGGAGGUGAAACCUCACGAAGGAGUAGUUUCUCACUCCCACUUAGAACGGUGUGACCAAAGGUCAUGCAAUGCAAUAUGCAGCAAGAUACCAAAAUUUAAAUCAACACAACAAUUACAACGAUGAAAAUUGUGAUAAAAACGAAUGAAAUGCAAUGAAAGGAUCGUAUAUUUAAAUCAAGUUUUCAAUUUUCAACAAAAAGACAAAAGAUAAUCAACUCGUGGCUCGACUCACUUAUUUUAUGUCCUCAGCGGAGUCGCGAAGCUGUUGACACCAUUUUUUAUUCAAAACGGGGUCGACUUGGGGUUUUGAAAAAUGAAACGGGAGUCGGCACCAAUCCUUUUUUAUGAGGUGUGAUUGGAUUACCUCGAAAAGUGGUUGUUUUUAAUAAACGGUUUGAUUUUAUUAAAACAACAAGUUUGGUCCACGAAAUUCAAAAAACGGGUUCGGGAGUCGGUUACGUACGAGGAAGGAUUAGCACCCUCGUAACGCCCAAAAAUUGGUACCUAGUUGAUUAACUAAUGUCUUGAUGUCGAAAAAUGAGAACUUUGAAGAAUUUUAAAAAUAGGAUCCUUGUAUUAAAAUAUUGAAAAUUUCCAGGAAAAUGGGCAUAUUUCACGUUAUUCAAGAAAGACAAUCAUAUCCAGUAAGUUAGGACACAAUGUCUCGAAUUCUCGAUACGUAAAUGAAUGCCAAAAUUUUACUUAUUUAAAAGACAUUUUAUUAUCUCGAGUUUAGAAAAGGGAUCAUGCCCAGUAAGUUAGGACACGAUCUUUUCUUAAUUCUCGAGAUCGUUUUAAAACUUGAGUUUAAAAAGAUUCGUGUAUUUAGAUUUAUUGUGAAAAUCGAAACCCAGUAAGUUAGGGUACGAUUCUCUCGAAUCUAAACACGAAAUAAUAUUUAUUCAAAAGAAAUUUUAUUAUAUCGAGUAAAAUAAAACACGAAAAUCGUAGUAAAAAAAUGUGAAAGCAAAUUACAUUGUUAUGAUGCAUAGCUGAACCAUAAUGGGUACGAAAAUAUGAAAAUUAUACAAACAAUAGCACAAUAUAAAAUAAAUAAAAGGUUAAAUCUACAACGUUCAAAAUAACGAUCAUGUAUAAACAAAUUAAAUUAAAGCAUGCAUCCGAAAUAAUAAUGAAGAUGAAGUAAAUAAAUAGUGAAUACAAUUCAAAAUGUAAAGAGGUAUGUAUACGUAUGUAAAUAUAAAUUAAAAUAUGUAUGCAUAUGUGAAUUAUAAAAUAUGUAGAAAAUACCUAUGUAGAAUAUAUUUUAAAAUAUAAAGAAUAUAAAAAAGUACAUAUAGGUGUAAGUAUGUAAAAUUAUGAAACAUAAAGAAUAUAUAAAAAAUUGUAUAUUUUUUGAAAGUAUGAAGUGUAUGCAAGUAUGUGUAUAUAUAUAAUAAAGGUGUAUGAAAGUAUAUUUUAUACACGUGUAUUUAUAAAAUGUGUAUAAAUAUAUAUUGAUUUACCAAUACAUAUGGAUAUAUAAUUAUAGAAUAUAUAUAAAAAAUAUUUACAUAUAUACGUUUAUGCGUAUAUAAAAGUAAGCUAUUAUAAAAUAUGAGCAAGCAUAAUACAUAUAUAUAGAGAGAAUAAAAAUGAAGUUGAAAACAAUAUAAAACUACUUAAUAUAUUAAUAUAAUAGUAACAAAAUAAAUAAACAGAAAAUAAAGCUAAUAAUAAUUAAUAAUAGUAGUAAUAAUAAUAAUAGUAAUAAUAAUAAUAACACUAAAAUAAUUAAUUAAACAAUAAAAUUGCUAAAAAGGGUUUAAAUCGAAAUAAAAACCUAAAUACUGGGCGAUUUCGAAAUAAAUAAAAACUAAAAGGAUUAAAUUGCAACACGCGCCAAACAUAGAGGGACCAAAACAGUAAAUAAGCCGAAGCCCCGAAACGGGGCGCAACAGUGGGCCAAAUUGGAACAAAAAUAAAAUUCUGGGGCUAAAUUAAAAAUAAAAGGAAAUAGCGAAAUAGGACCAAAUUAAAACACGCCGCAAAUCAAAGGGACUGCGCGCGCAAAUAUCCCCCUUAGCGAAAACGCGUGGAUCCUCCACCAGGGUCGGGUCACCUCGCGGGUCAGAGACCAAAACGACGCCGUUUUGGUCUCUGAACCCUAAAUUAAAAAACGGCGCCGUUUUACAGGGUAUUUGAACCCAUUUUUACAUCAAAAAAACACUUUAGCCGUUUUUUUAAAAAAAUAAAAGGGGAGCCCCUUUUCUCCCUAAGAAGUCUAGCCAUGUGGGGUUCCUUGGCCCCUGUUGCGGGUUCCUUGGCCCCUGUUGCGCCGCCGCUCGGCUCGCCGCACCGCCACCACUCCGACGGCUGGCGAAGCUCCAGAAAGGCGUUCAAAGCCCCAUCCUCCGGUGAGUUUCCUUUUUCCUUUCUUUUAUUUUUAUUAUAAAUAUAUUAUAUAUAUAUAAGCAGAUGAAUAAAAGAAAAUAAAUAAAAAAGGUUUAAAAUCUGUUAAAACGAAAACAAAAGGGAUCGGAAAUCACCUUUGAAACUUAUCUUUUAUUACUUUGGUAAUAUUUGUAUUUUUUUUGAUACCUCAAAUUCUAACCCAAGAAGAAGAAAAAAAGGUGUACAGAUUAGGCUUUUUAUAGCUGAUUUUUGGCUACUGUUUCUGUUGUCUUUUUGUGUUGUUUUCUUCUUUGCAGGUGACCGGCGGCGCAAGUAGGGGUGAGCAUUUGAUCAAAUCGAAUCGAAUAAAAAAUUUUCGAGUUAAUCGAGUUUUCGAAUCUCAUUUUAUCAUCCUAACUUUAUUUGAAGUUUUCUCAAAUCGAGUCGAGUGAGAUGAAAUUCGAAUCGAAUCGAAACGAAUAUAUCUGUUCGAGUUAAAUUUUAAAAAAUAAUUUUGGGUCCUUGUAACCAUUAUCACCCAUCGUAAUAAAAUUUGCCCACAUUAAUCAAAUUUUUUAUUAACUUUCAUCACUUCAUAAUUUAUUUAUUAUUUUUUUAUAUACUGGUUAGCUUCUUUGCUUGCUUAGUUGUUUCAAUUAUCUUCAUAUUUUUGUCACUAUGUAUUUUGGAAUUAAAAAAUAUAUUAAAUGUAACAUAUGAUUUUUUUAAGAAAAUUUAUUUUAAAAAUAAAAUGUGAAAUUGAUACCAAUAUAAAAUUUUAACAUGAAUAUUUUAUGGCAUAAUUAGUAAUUCAAUUUUAAUAUAAAUAUUCAAUAUGACUAAACAUUUCAAUAAUAUAAAUAAUAUAAAAUGUGAAAUUUAAUUUAAUAAUAUAAAUAGUAGAUAUAAAUAAAAUUAUUACUAUUUAUGUUUAGUGAAUUUUUUUGGAUAAUUUUGAUUUUUUAUUUUUGAGUAAAGGGUGAGAAGUAAAAGUUUAGGGGGAAAAUAAAAAAGUUUUGGGGAAUAAAAGUUUGAGGGAAAGUAAAUAUGGGGAGUAAAAUUUUGGAGGGAAAAUAUUAAAAAAAAAUUGGAGGGGGGAGGGUUUGGGGUAGAUGAGAGGUGGGAUGGGAAAGGAAUAAAAGUUUUAGGGGAAAAGUGGGAGGGAGUAAAAAUUUUGGGAGAAAAUAAAAGGUUUUGAUGGUUUUUGGGAGUAAAAUUUUGAGAAAAAGUAAAUGGGAGAGUAAAAUUUUGGUGGGAAAUAGAUUUUGGGUAGAUUGGGGGGUUGGGAGGGGAGGGGAGUAAAAGUUUUGGGGGGAAAGUAGGAAGGAGUAAAAGUUUUGAGGGAAAAGUAAAUAGGUUUGGGAGUUUAGGGUAAAAAUGUAAAUUAUUAUAGUUUGAUAUUCGAAUUAUUCGAAUUAUUCGAGUUAUUCGAAUUCAAAAACUCAACUCGAUUCGAACUCGAAAUUCGAAAAAAAAUUCGAGUUGAUUCGAAUAACUCGAUUAACUCGAAUAACUCGAUCCGUUUAACUCGAAAUUUGAAUUUUUUUCAAUUUUUUCGAGUGGAAUCGAAUUUUGCUCACCCCUAGGCGCAAGUGGGGUGAUUGGAGCAGGUGGUGGUAGGUGCGGCGCAGCAGUGGCGGUGGUAGAGGAGGCCAAGGGUCAAAGAGGGCGGCGCCUAGGGUUUCAGUCUAGGCUAAUUUUUUUAGAGAAAAUGGGCCUGGGCUGUUGGGCUCCAGGUUUGGGUUAGGGGCAUUUAGGUUUGGGCUGGGUUUGGUUUAAUUGUAAUUGGGCUUGGUGUAUUUGGGUAGGUUAAUUUGAAUUAAGCUUGGGUAUUGGGCCGGGCAAAAUAUGGGCUUCACACCAAUUAUUUUAUUAGACCCAUGUUCAUGACUGAUUUUAAUAUUUUUUGUUGACCCAUUUUUGUAGUGGUUGUCUACGUACCAUUGGAAGUGAUUACUUCAGGUACAUUACUCGUUUUAUUUGUCGGCAUGUUUGACCAAAAUAUUUUGAUAAUUUGCUUGCAUCUUUUUGAGUAUCUUGUGCAACCAAUCUUUUGUUUAUUAUUGGAAAGGAGAUUCAAUCAAGCAAAAUUAUUUUUCAAAGAUCCUUAUAUUGAUUACUUAUGUAACACCCAGGUUUGGCAGGUUCUAAGUUCUGACAAGAAGACUAAGAGCGGUGAGAAGUAGCCUAUCCGCUCGAUUAUCAUUUUGGCGCACAAAUUAGGCGCAUAGCAGAUAAUAGAACAUUAAGCAAGGGUUGUUCUCAGAAUGUAUUAAGUUGUAAAGAAGAAGAGAUUGGUGAGAGUUUUGAGAACCUUGUAAUAAGGGGGUUAUCGCCUAAAUUGACAAUUUUCCAUUUUAGGAGUGGGGCAUGCCAAGCCCACCUAGACUCAUAGUUGUUGAUUUUCAAAAUUGGCAUGGAUUAAAUUGUUCAAUUUUUUUAGGGGACCAACUUACUCAAUGUUAAAAUUGAGAAGGACCAAAAAGUUUUUUUUUAUCCUUUUAUUGUAGAAAGUUGUUUAUAUAUAUAUUUGUGAAAACUCAAAAGAAAGUGUAAAAACUUAUUAAACAGGAGUUAAAUAUUCAUCCCUUCAUUGCUGUUUUCCAGUCAUAUGCUGCAUGCAAACUUAUUAUAUUUAAAUUCCAAAUUCUUUAGUGCAAGUGUCUGGUCUUCAUUCUUUUCUCUUAUAAGAUGUUCAGAUUCAGACAAUUUUGUUUAGCCUUAGACAUGACAAAGUGUUCUAAUAGUACAUCCCGCACGUCACUUAAUUGGCUGAUGUCGAUAAGUAAGAAUGCCCUUAAUUUAGAUCCUUUGAUAGUUGGGUGAUUGGGAUGAUUUAUUUAUUCAUUUUGGAAGUUUUUAUUAGAAUUUGACUUGCUAAUUUUCAUAUUUAUAUUAUAUUUGUGCUUUUUUUUUACAUAAUUUUUUAUUAAUUAAUAAUGUGUUAUAGGAAACAUUUUUAUUGAAUUUAAUAUUACGAGCCAAUUCCAUAUUAAUUUAGUCAAAUAAAUUAUAUAAGAACUAUUUUUAAUAAAUAAUAAAUAUUAUUACAAUAUUAUUUUUGUUUUCUAUUAUAUUCGAGUUAAUAUUUAAUAUAAUAUUAGUGGAAAUUUCAAUUCUAUAAUUUAAAUGCUAUCACAUAUUCCAUUUUAAGAAAAAUAACAUUUUUUUUACUACACUCUAAAAGUGUAUGAGUCGAUUGAGUCUUAACUCGGUUGGUAUUGACAUUGUUGUCUAUGCAGGAGAACGUGGGUUCAAGUGCGUUGAAACACAUUUAUCCUCCCAUUGAAGGAGUGGAGAGACACUAUGGGUAGUUCUUUUAAUUUAACUCGAACAAUUUCAUUCGAUGCGACUAGAUUCAAAUUUUAUUUCACUCGACUCGAUUCGAAAAAAAUCAAAUUGACUUAAGAUCUUAAAAGAGAAUCGUAAACUCGAUUAACUCAAAAUUAUAUGAUACUUCAUUACUUAAUUGACGCAGCAAAUAUUGACAAAGCUGGGUUUGCGCCAAUUUUUUUCCCUUAAUUUCUAUUGUGUGAUUGGUACAUGGAUGAGAACGAACAUAGUUAGUGCCAACCCACGAUGCAAUUGCAAGCCUAAAAAAAGCUAAAGAUGGUGACAAUUCAAAAUGGUAAUAAAUUGAAAUAAUUCAUUUUAUUUUACCUUGCUCAAUUUUUAUUAAAUUUAGUUUUAAUUCAUGUGUUAUCUCUGAAUGAUAUCACAAUAUAUUUUUAAAAAAUUAAUAUUAAUAAUAUUUAAUAACAUAAAAUAAUUUAUAUGUAUUAAAAAUUUAUUAACCACUUCAUAUUAGAAUAAUUCUAUCAUUAUUUCAAAAGGUAAAAAUGUUAUUAUUACACCAAUUAAAAAAUAUCAUAUAUUCAAAUAAUUAAUUCAUCAUAAUUUUAAUAAAAAGUUUCACAUAUAAUAAUGAUAAAUGUAAAAUAAAUUAGUUUAUGUUUAUGAUAUACAUGACUCAUUUAUACCUAUUAAAAUAAAUAAUUUCAAAUAAUAAUGUAUAAAAUUUGCUUAAUAAAAAAAUAUAUUAAAUAAUAAAUAGCAAAACUAUAAUGUUAUUUAUGAACAAGAUGGAUCCGGGGUGGGGAGGCUUGCACCCCCAUUGGAUUUCUCAAAAGUUCUCAAAAUUUUAUUAUAUUCUUAAUUCCUCCCACUUCUUAUCAAUUCGCUCCUUUUAUCUCGGAUUUUAAUAAUUUUUUGUGGAUUAAAGUUUUUGAAGUGACUGCCUAUGUAACAUCUCUAGCCCGUUAGGGAACAUGACGUGCCAAAACCAACCAACAGUCCGCCCAACGAAUUGGAGUGUUAUCGACGGUUUCAACCUUUUUCAAAAUGACUUCCAACUCUUUGAAAUCAACUAUGAAAAAUCUCUUUAAAAGCAUUCUUAGAUUUUUGUAACCCCCUGUUUAAAGUAAACUAUAAGUCAUCCCCAUAGCUUUAAAUGGCAUACGCAUAUAAAAGAAAAUCUUUUAAGGCAUCAACAAUGAAAAUAGGUAAAUAUUUGCAAUUAAUAGAUAAAAAUAUUUUUCAACAGAAACCAUGCAUGAAACCAAUAACAAAAGAACUAAUAGCUCACAAAUAUCAGCAACUCUGAUGUAGUCUCCUUCUACAAAAUCUUCUGCUACUACCAACAAUCCUGAGGAGAUAAAAUAACUAAGUUGAAUUGAAUUUACUGAGUUCCACAAUAUACACAGAUACUGUAUUGAAAUACCUUUAAUUAACAAGCACUAGUACUCAUAACAAAACGGACUUUCCAUGAUAUUUGUCGUAACCAUUUUUUGUAAAACGGGAUCGACUUGGAUUUUAAAAAUAAAAACGAAUAUGGGAGACGCUACCAGUCCUUUUUGAUAAGCUGUGAUCGGGCCACCUUGAAAAGUGGUUAUUUUUAAUAAACAAUUUAAUUUUAUUAAAACAACGAUUUUGGUUUCUGUUUGUUGGGUCAGGGCUAAAUUGGGUUGUACAGCUGCCCCUCUUUGCUCGUUGUCGUGUAACGAGAACAGAGCAAAGACUAAGACAGACCAAUUUUGCCUGGUCUCACCGAUUAUUGACCUAUUCUGGUGCUUCUCUUCUUCAAGUAGCUUUAUUCCAGACCACAGUGUCUUGUUGCUUCGAUCCACUCCACCGCAACUUCAAAAAGAGAUACGACCUGUAGCUUCAAUCUUCAAGAGGACGAGAUUCAUGGUUUUAGUCUGCUCCACCGCAACAUCAAGGAGAUAAGACUUGUUGUGGUAGAUUUAAUUCGAUCCACUGCAACUUCAGAGGUAUAGGAUUCAUCGUUUUAAUCUACUCCACUGUAACUUUAGGGAGAUAGGAUUAGUAGCUUCAAUCUGCCCCACUGCAAUUUCAGGGAGAUAAGAUUGGUAUCUUUAACCUGCUCCACUGCAACUUCAGGGAGAUAAGGUUUGCUAUCUUCAGUCUACUCCACUACAACUUCAGUGAGAUAAGGUCUGCAAUUUCAACCUGCCCUACUGCAACUUGAGGGGGAUAAGGUUUGAUAUGAUCUGCUCUACUGCAACUUCAGUGAGAUAAGAUCUGCAAUGUAUAGCUUCAAUUUGUUCCACUACAACUUCAAGGAAAUAAGGUUCGAUAUAUUCGGUCUGCUCCACUACAACUUCAGGAAGAUAAGAUUUGUAUCUUCAACCUGCUCCACUACAACUUUAGGGAGAUAAGGUUUGCUAUCUUCAGUCUACUCCACUACAACUUUAGUGAGAUAAGAGUUGUAUCUUUAACCUGCUCUACUGUAACUUUCAGGAGAUAAGGUCCACAAUUUCAAUCUGCCCUACUGCAACUUGAGGGGGAUAAGGUUUGAUAUGAUUUGCUCUACUGCAACUUCAGUGAGAUAAGAUCUGCAAUGUAUAGCUUCAAUCCGUUCCACUACAACUUCAAGGAAAUAAGAUUCGAUAUCUUUGGUCUUCUCCACUCCAACUUCAGGGAGAUAAGAUUUGUAUCUUCAACCUGCUCCACUGCAACUUCAGGGAGAUAAGGUCUGCAAUUUCAACCUACCCCACUGCAACUUCAGGGGGAUAAGGUUUGUCACUUCAACCUGCUCUACUCCAACUUCAGAGAGAUAAGGUUUGUGGCUUUAAUUUUCUUCUCUGCAACUUCAAGGAGAUAAGAUUCGCUGCCUUCAGCUUUAAUCCGCUCUACUUCAACUUUAAUCUAUUCCACUACAACACUAGGGAAACAAUAUUCGCUACCUUUAGCUUUAAUCUGUUCCACUGGAACGCUAGAGAAAUAAGAUUCGCCGCCUUAAGCUUUAACGAUAGGGACAUAAGAUUCGCUACCUUCAGCUUUAAUCUGCUCUGUUGUAAUGCUAGGGAAACAAGAUUCGCUACCUUUAGCUUUAAUCUGUUUCACUAUAACGCCAAGAUGAUAGGAUUCGCUGCCUUCAGCUUUAAUCUGCUCCACUUCAACUUUAAUCUAUUCCACCGCAACGCUAGGGAAACAAGAUUCGCUACCUUUAGCUUUAAUCUGUUCCACUGUAACGUUAGGAAAAUAAGAUUAUUGGUUUUAGUCUACUCUACUGCAACUUUAGGGAUAUUAGAUUUGCUUUCUUCAAACUGUUCCACUGCGACUUCAAUGGUAUAGGAUCUGUGGUUUCACAGAUCUGUUCUCUGGGGAACAUGACCUAUGGAAUCCAUUGCAUGGGCCUAUUCAUGCCUAUUAAUUAGAAUAUUAUGAUUAGAACGAAUCAAAAUCUCCUAACUAAAUGUGCAUGCAUGAAUGCAAAAUGUCAUGAAAAUGAUCCCCCAAUGUUUGAGUUGUUAUUGUUCAUUGUUCAUUAAGGUCUCAUUACCAAUACGUUAGAACACUAUCUUGUUCGGCCGGUAACACUAUAAUCUUCAAGGUUCAAUCCACUGUACCUUUAGGACAUAAAAGUUUGAACCAUCUUCUUCCCACUAAGUAUAAGAUCUGGCUCUUUCUUAAUCCUCUCCCACUGCAAUUUAGGGAUACAGGAUCUGAAUAUCUUUGGCCUUACACCACUCUCGAGGUGUCAUACCAAAUAUUUAUGCACAAUUGUAAAAUUUUCUUAUCCGAGAAAACCUCUUCUUAUCACUCCAUUGAUCAUUGCUAGUUUAUUUAUUGAAGCCUUGUCACAAACACGACAUCUUGUCAUUUUGUUCAAUCAAUGUUUGGAUAACAAAAUCUGAAAGGAUAGUCUUAAUUUAGACUCUUCCUUCUUAGAUAUUUCAUCCUUUAAACUUGGUGUGUUCUAAACAAUAGUCCUGUUUCAGGUUCCUAUAUUAUUUAGAAACUUCUAGAGUAAUAUGCAAAACAUCCAUUGUGAAAGUAUUAUCAGAAAACAUCCAUUGUGAAAGUAUUAUCAGUCUAUUAAUCAUUAUUCCAAUGCAACGUGCUUGCAAAAGAUCAUAACGGUAGAUAGAAUAGGAUUAAUUUGGGAACAUGACUUGAAAUGGAUAAAUUAUCAAAGAGAGUAAGAAUAAAAAAGGAAUUGAUUGGGAACAUAUAUCUUGAAAAAGAAUAAAGUAUUCCAAGAACAUCAAAUUCAAUAUAAAUAGUAUGAAGACUAAGAUCCCCAGAUAUCGUAGCUUGAACUUCUCUGUAAAAACUUUCUGAAGACCAUUCUGAGUUUGACAUGUGUUUAGGAGAUCUACAGUACUUUGUCAAUGUCCCAAGAUAUCGCCUACCCUUUUCUGUUGAUUUAGGCAUAGCAAGAUCACCAUAUGCCCCAAUCUGAUCAAAAUUUUAGCUGUUCUGAUCACCUCAUGUCCCACUCUGAUCAAAAUUUGAGCCGCCCUUUUCAGGUUUUCAACUCAAAUCCCCUUUAGUCUCAAGGUGCCCUUUGCGGGUUUUCACCUUGGCCUCUCAUUUUUCUUUUCUUUUCUUCUUCUAUUUUGAAAUAUUUUUUGAUUGAAUCUAAACUCAUAGGAUAAGGCAUGUCCUUGUUAUCCUUUUUGAUCAAAAUCAAUGUUUCUCCAGAUAAGGCCUUCCAUAUAAGGUCCUUCCCAGUUUGGUAUCCACUUUCUUCUGAAGUCCUUUUGUAUGGGGAGGAUCUUCUUCGAUACCAGGUUCUCCUCGUGGAAUCUUCUAGAGUGAACUUUUUUUUGAGCUCGCAUCAUUUGCUUUUGGCACAUUUGGCAAUGAUGGAUAACUUUGAACAUUCCUCUUUAAUCAGGAUUAAAUUAAAAAACUUAGAGAGAAUGAAUCUUGUCUUCAAUUGGUAAACCUCGAUAAGCCCAAAAGAAAAGCAUUACCUCGGUAAAGGCUUUUCACUGCACUAUUCACAUUGGGACGACAUGGUGUUAAUCUUGAACAGGCUGCAAACCUUUUGAUAAUAUGAUGUUCAAAUUUAGCGCGUUGUUGAAUAUGAUCCUUUUUGGCAUUUUAUACCUACGUAUGAAUUUUUCAAGAAUUUGCUGGCUGUCGACUUUGUGACAUUGGCACAUGAAGUGGCUUCUACCCAUGAAGAUAAAUCGAUAACCGUCAAAAUCUUUUGGCGAGAUCGACCUAAUGACCUUCAUGCCCCACAUAGGGAGAAGUCAUGGAUUCCAUUGAUUCUUUGUAGGGUAGGAUCUAUUUUCCAUCUUAUUCUACCAUCCGUAAUAAGUCUAGAGAUAGGCUAUAAUCUAUGUCAUCUUUAAAGUCAUGAGAUCCCUCAAACACAUGUCUCACUCAAAAGGAGAUUCUGAGUCUGUAGCAGCGUAACUCAUGUCAUUGAUAUCUAGGGACCUAUUAUAGGUACAAAGGAAUGUAUAAAGAAUAUAUGAACUUAUGAGUAAUUAUUUGUUCAAUAUGAUUAUUAAUGGAUGAAAGAAUGAUUUGGAAGAAAGUCUAAAAGAAUGAAGGAAUAAAAAAUAAUUAUUAAUAAAAAAAUGAAUAAAUAUUGGCUCAAAAAUUAUCACAAAGAUAUAUUUCAUUAAAAUAAUAACGUUCAAACAUGAGCCAAUUUCACAAAAGAGUUCUUACUGCCUCUAGGCUAAAAGCAACAAGUGUGAUCUGAAUAUUACUCUCAGUAAGCUCUAAAUACUAUAGGGGUCUCUUCUGUAGUCUAAUUAUUUAGAACGCUUCCAGGUUUAUAAGGGCGAAUAUCUAAUAAGGUCUCUUCUUUAGUUGUGUCUUCAUAUAUGGCAUUUUUGUGAACGUUUCCCUACACUUUUUCAUACUUUGCAUUCACCACAUUAUCAAUAUGAUUGAGUAACAGAUUUUCUGCACUAGAUGAAUCAUCAAAUUUGACAAUGCCCAUAUUGAUGAGCCUUUCGACCAGUUUCUUGAAAGUGGUGCAGUUUUCUAUAGAAUGUCCUACAAUACCUGCAUGAUAGUCGUAGUAUGCAUUCGCGUCAUAUCAUUUGGGGUAUGGAGGUUACAGGGGUUUUAAGUAGAAAGGGGAAAUAAUGUGUGCACCAAACAAACUUUGAUACAACUCCCGGUACGACAUUAGAAUUGGCGUAAACUAGAGCUUCUUAGUUUUUGUCUUAUGUCGAAUUCUUGUCUUGAUGGACCUUGUUGAUUAGUAGCCACCUUUCCUAGUUGGUUCACCGUGAUCGAUUUCGAGUAACCCUUGUUAUAGGUGUUCAUGUUGUUCACCUCAUUCUCUUUUUUCUUCGGAGCUGACCUUCGGUUACUUUCUUCAGCCUCGAUCAUCCCACUUUUUAUGGCAUUUUCAAUCAUUUAUCCAUUCAUAACUAUGUCAGAGAAACUUUUCAUGGUACUUUCCAACAUAUGUGUGAUAAAUGGUGCCUUCAGUGUGUUAAUAAAGAGUAUUGUCAUCUCUCUUUCCAGGAGCGGGGCUGGACUUGAACGACAACCUCUCUCCACCUUUGUGCGUAUUGCCUAAAACUUUCAUUAGGCUUCUUCUACAUAUUUUCCAGGGUGACUCUAUCAGGGACCAUAUCUGUUACAUGACUUUAUUAUUUCAUAAAUACUUGUGCUAAGUCUCUCCACGAACUAAUCUUGGUACGGGUUAAUUGAUUGUACCACUUAGAUGCUGCCCCUGUGAGGCUAUCUUGAAAGCAAUGUAUAAACAGUUGGUCAUUGUUAACGUAUUCAGUCAUACGCCUACAAAACAUGGUAAUAUGAGCUUCAGGGCAACUGGUCCCAUUGUAUUUCUCAAAUUCUGGCAUUUUGAAGUUAUGGGGAAGUACCAAAUCUAAGACUAAACUCUCGAGCCAUUUACAUCUUUCCUCCAGCUGUUUUGGCUAUUCUUCCUUGGUUUUCUCAUUCUCAGCCACUUCGUCAAAAUCGGGGACAAUGGAUUGGUAUGGUUCUCUUUGGAGUUAAAACCUAAUCUGGUUUGGAAGUUUAUUGGCAUUGAGGUGCCACCUUGAAACCGUUGAGGCCUGAUUGUGACAGAGGACCUAGGUGGGUGUACCUCAACUUGGGGUUGAACAUGUAGAGGAUUAAAGCCUGGACUGUAGAGGGGUCCAUCAUUAUCUCUUUCUUCAAUAUUAACCAUGGGGUCCUUUCCUUUGUCAUUUCCCCCAGCCAACAGGUGUGUUAACUGAGUCAUCAUGUUCUUCUGGGACUCCAUCAUAUUUUCUGCCAUAUCUUGUUGAAUUUUUUCUAACCGGUCUUGCAUUUGGUCUUGCAUCUCCUUUUGGAGCUGUUUGAGCCUUUCCAAUCUUUGAUCCAUGUUUUUCGAUUUUACUCGAGUAUCGUAAAGGUGUUAUUUUUCCAGAUUAACUAAAAUAAUUUUAUUUAAUUAGGAUCUUUUGGUGGAUUUUAAUGCAUAUGAUGUAAUGUAAAUGCAUGAAAUGAAUGCAAAAGAGACGUUGAUUCUUGGUUCAAUUCUAUUAGAACAACUUUACUAGAAAACAAAUCUCUUUAUAUAAAGCGGAUAUAUAUAUAGCUUUGCCCUCAUAUUCCAAGCGAAUACAACGAUCCUUUUCUUCAUCUGGAUGUUAAAAUGAAUCUCACGAAUUUUUCAAUGGAUGCCUCUACUAGCUCCUUUUUGCUUGAUCCGAUCCGCAACUCAUUAUUUGUUUAUCCUCGUGAUGCUCGUUAGCUUCUUUAAAAAGGUAGGGGCAUUGACGACUCUCGAACAAUCUUUGUCAACUUGAAUCCUCUGGUAAUGAAACAAAGUUACGUAGUCUUCCAUUAGACCAUCAUCUUUCUCUGGUCACAUUUUCUUGGACCAUAUUCGGACAAUCGCAUUGUCUUCCACUUUAUCAAGAAAUAUGUUUUCUUAUGACAAGCUCUCUAUUUAGAUACUGAACGUGAAUCAACACCUCUUUUUUAUGAUGAAAAUGCAAUGCAAUUAUAACCAAAACAAAAGAAAAUUGAUUAGUACAAAACACAAGCAAGCAAGAAAGAAAUAAAUAGAGCACCUAUUCGAGUGACCACUAGGGGUUUGGCAUAGUUCUACCUAGGCUAGGCUCUUCGGGCUCACUAUAUGCUGUUCGGUUCUAAAGUAAAGGUACCCGAACCGGCAGAUUCCUCGAUCUUCACCCAUUAUAGGCUCAUAUGGAUCGAGUUCAGUUGAGGGAAAUACAUUUCCCUAUGGCCGUGCGAAGAUGAAAAUCUCACGAAGACAUAGGUACGGAUGUAUCCGGGAAGUGAUUCACUAUCCCAUGCAGAGGUGAAAACCUCACAAAGGCAUAGCUUCUCACUCCCACUUAAAAGGGUGUUACCAACGGUCAUGCAAUGCAAUGUGCAGAAAGAUACCAAAACUUAAACUAACGCAACAAUUAUAAACCACAAUGAUGAAUAUCAUAAUAAAGACGGAUGAAACAUAACGAAAUGAUCGUAUCUUUAAAUCAAGUUUUCAAUUUGUGACAAAAAGACAAAAAAUAAUCAACUCGUGGCUUGACUCUCUUAUUUUGAGUCCCCAACAAAGUCGCCAAGUUGUCGUAACAAUUUUUUGUAAAACAAGAUCGACUUGGAUUUUAAAAAUGAAACAAAUGUGGGAGUCGCUACCAAUCCUUUUUGAUAAGGUGUGAUCGGGACACCUUGAAAAGUGGUUGUUUUUAAUAAAUAAUUUAAUUUUAUUAAAACAAUGAUUUUGGUUUCUUUUUGUUGGGUCCAGGCUAAAUUGAGCUUGUACAAUAUUUGUUGCAGUGUGUAAAAAUAAUUACAAAUUAUGUACAAAUAUACACAAUUGUAACAAGUAAUAAAGUACUAAGUAUACGAGUACUGUCUCCUUAGGGACUGAACAGGUAGUCAAGAUUUGAGAAAAUAAUUUAAAUAACAAUUUAGGAAGAAAACAACUACAAAUGGGGUUUAUGCGAUUAAUUAAACUAAAUGAUUCUAUCUUGCAAAAUUUCAACAGAAUAAUGAGUACUUCAAGAAAUGAGUUACUAAUAUCAAAUAAUGCUAGAAUACUUAAUCCACUUCUGCCUCUGAUCAAUUUAGUCUGGAUGAAAUUGUUAUGAAAAUCAUGGCAUAAUUAGCGUGUAACAUCCAUAACCCAUUUUUGUCGCCAGAAUAGGGUUACAGAGUAUUACUAUACAAUUCGAAACAUUCCAUAACAAUAGCAUCUAAGUCAUCAAAUUACUUAUUAACAAUAUUCAUAAAUAACAUGAAAUCAAGCAAGACACACAUUCACAGAACUUAAAUCGAGCCUACAAGGCCCUAAAAAUAUCUUAGGAACAAUCAGAGACUAAUUUAAAACAAAACAGGAGAUUUGGGACAAAAAUGAAAAAAAUUCAAAAAAGGGUCACACGGCCGUGUGUCUAGGCCUAGAGCGUGUGGCUCUAGACAUGGCCGUGUGGCCAUCCCACAUGCUCGUGUGCAAGAGCCAUGUAACUCUUUGACUUGGGUCACACAGUCAUGUCACAGCCAGUGUAAACUUUGCACCUAACACGCUAAGGGCACACCCCCGUGUGUGACACACGACUAUGUGAUAACUUGUGUCCCAGGUCAUGUGUACCCAAAAGUGACUAAAAUCAUGCUAAUUUUUCAUCCAAAUUCUUUAGUGAAAAUGUCUGGGUCUUCAUUCUUUUCUCUUAUAAGAAGUUCAAAUUCAGACAAUUUUGUUUAGCCUUAGACACGAGAAAGUGUUCUAAUAGUACAUCUCGCAUGUCACUUAAUUGGCUGAUGUUGAUAAGUAAGAAUGCCCUAAUUCCCCCUAAUUUAUAUCCCUUGAUAGUUGGGUGAUUGCGAUGAUUUAUUUAUUCAUUUUGGAAGUUUUUAUUAGAAUUUGACUUGCUAAUUUGCAAUUUAUAUUAUAUUUGUGCAUUUUUUACAUAAUUUUUUAUUAAUUAAUAAUGUGUUAUUUAUACUAUAAUAAUGUUUAAAACACACUUAUUGCUCUAAGCCUGGGAGCAAUAAGAAUCCUUUUGUGAAAAAGGCAUAUGUCCAAUAUAUUUAUUUCAAUAAAAUGCAUCUUUGUGUUUUAUUUUAGAAAAUAUUCUUUUUUUUUCCAUUUCAUUCAUACUCAUACCACACAAAUAAUUAUUCUUAGAUUCAUUUGUUCUUUGGGUCUUCCUUUAUUCCUAUAACAGGUAUCCAGAUAUUAAUGAUAUGAGUGACGCUGCUGCUGACUCAAAGUCUCCUUUUAAGCAGGAUAUGUGUCCAGAGGAACCUCAGGACUUUGAAGAUGAUCAAGAUUGUAACCUUUCUCCUGAUUUGUUAAGGAUGAAAGAACAAGAUGAGAAAUAAAUCCUACUUUACAAAGAGUCAGUAGAAAUUGUGAGUUUGAGAGACAAAUAAGAAAAUAAAUAGGUAAAGAUCAGAGCUUGCAUCACUGUAGAGACGAAACGAGACCUCAUUGAGUUACUCCAAUAAUUCAAAGAUUUCUUCGCAUGGUUGUAUCAAGACAUGCCUGGUCUAAGUACUGAUAUCAUGGUACAUCGGCUUCCCAUAAGGGAAGACUGCAAGCCGGUUCAACAGAAACUCCGAAGGAUGAGGCCCGAUGUCUUGUUGAAAAUAAAAGAAGAGGUUAAGAAAUAAUUCGAUGCUGGUUUCCUACAAGUGGUUAAAUACUCGGAGUGGGUAGCCAAUAUAGUCCCCGUCCCUAAGAAAGAUGGGAAAGUAUGAAUGUGUGUAGACUACAUGGAUUUAAACAAAGCUAGCCCGAAGGACAAUUUCUCGUUGCCUCUCAUUAAAACAUUAAAAGACAAUACAGUAGGUUAUUCACUGUUCUCCUUCAUGGAUGGCUUCUCUGGAUACAACUAGAUAAAGAUGCAUCCUGAAGACAUGAAAAAGACCAUAUUCGUAACCAUAUGAGGAACAUUUUGCUACAAAGUAAUACCAUUCAGAUUGAAAAAUGCAGGAGCGACAUAUCAAAGAGCCAUGAUAACUUUGUUUCAUGAUAUGAUGCACAAAGAAAUCGAGGUUUAUGUUGAUGAUAUGAUUGCAAAAUCCCUAAUAGAAAAAGAGCAUGUACAAUUCUUAAGGAAACUAUUUUUAAGGUUGAUAAAAUUCCAGCUAAAGCUCAAUCCAGCAAAAUGCACCUUCGGGGUUAGGUUGGGAAAAUUACGAGAAUUUAUAGCCAGCUAAGAGGGGAUCGAGAUCGACCUGGAUAAAGUCAGGCCUAUACAGGAGUUACCUCUACUGUGCACUUAAAAAGAGGUUCGGGGUUUCUUAGGGAGAUUAAAUUACAUCGCCUGGUUCAUUUCACCACUGACCAAGAAAUGCGACCCCAUAUUCCAUCUCCUUAGGAAACAUAAUUCAGGUGUAUAGGAUGAAGAAUGCCAGAAGAAUGUUGACAAUGUAAAACAUUACUUGUCCAAUGCCCCAAUGUUAAUGCCGCCUAGUCCAAAUAAGCCACUGAUACUGUACUUGGUAGUAUUAGGGAAUUCUAUGUGAUGCGUGCUCGACCAACACGAUGAAUCAGGAAGGAAAGAAAUAGCAAUAUACUACUUCAGUAAGAAAUUCACUGAAUGUGAGACAAGAUAUUCACCAAUUGAGAAGUUGUGUUGGGCUUUAAUCUGGACAACCGAGAGACUAAGACAAUACAUGUUGUACCAUUCAACUUGGCAAAUCUCAAAAAUAGACCCUCUAAAGUACAUGAUAGAGUUGACUGCUUUGAAUGGAAGAAUGACCCAAUGGAAAAUUGUACUUUCCAAAUUUUAUAUAAUCUAUGUGAACCAGAAGGCAAUAAAAGGGAGUGUAAUAGAAGAUUUUCUAGCCAGUAGAACUCUAAAAGUUUACGAGCCUUCGAAUUUCAAUUUCCCGAAUGAGGAUCUGAUGUAUGUUGCAACCACUAAAGAAUAUGCUCAAGAAGGACAUCCUUGAAAACUAAAUUUUGACAGAGCCUCGAACAUUAUGGGUAACGAAAUUGGGGUUGUCCUAGUAUCCCCAAUCGGAGACCAGUAUCAUUUUACUAGUAAAUUGGAUUUUGAUUGUACAAGUAAUAUAACAGAAUACGAAACAUGCAUUAUAGGUAUCUGUACAGCCAUAGAACGCAAGAUCAAGGUACUGGAGGUAUAUAGGGGUUCUGCACUAGUGAUAUAUGAACUCAAAAGAGAAUGCGAGACGAGGGACCCCAAGUUGACCAAUUAUCAAAGGCUGACUCUUGAAUUAAUUAAGGAGUUUGAUGACAUCACCUUCUGCUACCUUCCGCAAGAUGAAAACCAAAUGACUGAUGCCCUAACUACUUUAGCUUCCAAAGUCAAAGUGAAUAGACAAGAUGAUGUAAAACCUAUUCAGAUGAGUAUUUAUGAGGCUUCGACCCAUUGUUACAACAUCGAAGAAGAAGAAAAGGAUGAUCACCCUUGGUACCAUGAUAUACUGCGAUAUGUAAAGAAUCAUGAAUACCCUAAUUAGGAAAUCGAGAAUAAUAACAGGAUGCUAAGGAAACUGACUAAUGGCUAUGUCUUAGAUGGGGAGAUCCUAUAUAAAAGAAGAAAGGAUCAGGUGCUACUGAGAUGUGUGGAUGCCAUUGAGGCCAAUAAAAUGAUGGAAGAAGUCCAUGAGGGCGUUUGCAGAACACAAGCUAAUGGUUUCACAAUGGCCAGGCAAAUCAUGAGAUUCAGAUAUUAUUGGUCCACCAUGGCCUUUCUCUAUGUGGGGCAUGGAUGCCAUUAGACCGAUCUCGCCAAUAGCUUCCAAUGGGUAUCGAUUCAUCUUUAUGGUUAUCGAUUACUUCACAAAGUGGGUAGAAUCUGCUUCUUAUGCCAAUGUCACGAAGUCAGCAGUCAAUAAUUUCUUAAAGAAAGAGAUCAUAUGUCGGUAUGGAAUGCCAGAAAGGAUCAUAUCUAAGAAUGCAUUGAAUUUGAACAACAAUACGAUAUCAAAAGUCUACAGUUAGUUUAAAAUCAAACACCACAACUCGUCACCAUAUCACCCAAAAAUGAACGGUGUAGUUGAGGGAGUUAAUAAAAACAUUAAGAAGAUCGUGGGGAAACUAACAGAGACUUAUAAAGACUAGCAUGAGAAGUUACCAUUUUCCUUUUAUGCUUAUUCAACGUCUGUCAGAACCUUCACUGGGGCAAUACCUUUCUCAUUUGUUUAUGGAAUGGAGGCAGUUUUGCCCAUUGAAGUCGAGAUUCAUUCUCUCUGAGUUUUAUCAGAGUUGAAGUUAGAUGAAGCAUAAUGGACCUAAUCUCGAUAUGAUCAGUUGAACUUGAUUUAAGAGAAGAUGUUGAAAGCUAUCCGUCAUGGUCAGAUGUACCAAAAAUGAAUAAUGCGAGCUUAUGAAAAAAAUGUUCGCCUCAGAGAAUUCCAUGAGGGUGACCUGGUAUUGAAAAGGAUCCUACUAAUACAAAAAGACUUCAGAGAAAAGUGGAUGUCGAAUUGGGAAAAACCUUAUGUGGUAAAGAAAGCUUUUUCUAAAGGAGCACUGAUUUUGACAGAGAUGGAUGGCAAAAACUUGCCUAAUCCUAUAAAUUCAGAUUCAGUCAAGAAAUACUUCACCUAAAAAAAUAGGGAGAGGCCAAGGUGAAAACUCGCAAAAGGGUGCCUUGAGACCAAAGGGGUUUUGUGUUGAAAACCUAGGAAAGGGCAGCUUAAAUUUAGAUCGAAGAUUGAACAUGUGGUAGUCAUGUCUACUCAGAACGAGAAACAUUACAUCUUGGGGCUUCAAUAAAGUACUUUAGAUCUCCUGAACACAUAUCAAGCUCAAAAUGGUCCUCAAGAAGUUUAUGUAGAGAAGCUCAUGCUGCGAUAUUUGGGGCACCUAAUUUCAUCUUACUCACUCUGUAUUUUACCAAUGUUUGCUAUUUUGAUUAAUCUAUUUAUUUUAAGCUUUGCUCCCAAUAAAUUUCAAUCUUGUCAAUUGUUACAAGCUUUUUCGAGCAUUUUUACAUUGAAAUAAUGAUUAAUGGACCAACAACAUUCAAGUAAAAGGAUUUUUGCAUAUUGCUUUGAAAGGUUUCUAAAUAGUAUAAGGACCUGAAACAGGACCACUAGUUAGAACUAACCAAAUCUAAGUGUUGGAAAUAUUUGGGAACGAAUAGUUUAAAUUGUGAUUAUUUCUUCAAGUUUCCUGUCAAAGAUACCAGAUUUGAACAAGAAGGUGUGGCAAUACAUCAUUGAUGGAACCUUGACGAACAAUGAGUAAUGUCAACCUAAGCAUUAAAAAGUGAAUCAUUCUCGAAAAAUGACAUUCUGCAUGCACGUAAAUAUCAUUCAUAUACAUCUAGUUAGGAGAAUUUGAUUCAUCCUGAUCAUAACAACCUAAUAGGUUGGCAUAAAUAUAGGCCUAUGAAAUGGAAUCUACAAGUCAUGUUCCCUAGAGAAAUGUAUAACAGAUCAGUGAAACCACAAAUCCUGCACUCUUGAAGUUACAGUGGAGUAGAUUGAAGCUACCAAUCUUAUCUUCCUAAAGUUGCAGUGGAGUAGAUUAAAGCCACAAAUUUUAUCUCCCUGAAGUUGCUGUGGAGUAGACUGAAGUCACAAAUCUUAUCUCCCUAAAGUUACACUAGAGCAUAUUAAAACCACAAAUCUUAUCUUCCUAAAGUUGCAGUGGAGUAGAUUAAAGCUAAAAAUCUUAUCUCCCUGAAGUUUCAGUGGAGCAGAUUGAAGAUAGCGAAUCUUAUCUCCCUAAAGUUGCAGUGGAAUAGAUUGAAGCUACAAAUCUUAUCUCCUUAAAGUUGCAGUGGAGCAGAUUGAAGAGACAAAUCAUAUGCCUCUAAAGUUGCAGUGGGUCGAAUUAAGGGCCAAUUCUUCAUUGCUUUUGAAAAGUGCUUUUGAAAAGUGUUGUGGAAAAGUACUUUUGAGAAGUGCUUUUGAAAAAUUUGAGUGUUUGGUAUUGCUGUCAAAAAGUGCUUUUGAGAAAUAAAAUGUCCAUUUCAGACAUGAUAUUAUAAAGUAACAAAUAUGUAUUUAAAUAAUGUUCAAAUUAGUUAAUAUUAUGAUAUUUUAGCAAAAUAAUAAAAAAUAAUUUAUCAUAACUUAUUGUUUCUAUUUUAAUAUAUAAUAUUAAUUUUAAAUAUUUGUAAGUAAUUAAUAGUAAUUAUUUAUUAAAUUUAAUUAGAUUAUAUAAACUAUAUUUAAAUAUUUAAAUAUAAUAAUUAAAUAUUUGUAAUUAGAUAUUGACACAAUUGUAUUAUGUUAAAAAUUAUUUUUUAUUUUUAAUUAAUGCUUUUAACACAUUUGUAUUAUUUUAUUUUAAAUUAACAUAACAUAGAAAAUAUAAACCUAACAAAUUAAAAUAUUACAUAUAUUUAGAUUAAAGUUUUAAAAAGGGAUAAUACUUAUAUACCAAAUAUAAAUACUAAAAAAUUUGGGAGAAGACAAAGGUUAAAAAUGUAAAUAGAAGCCAAAAGUACUUUCGGCAAAUGGAGAAGUUAAAAAUGAUGUCUGUUCUUUAUAGGUUUUCAGGGAAAACUACUUUUACAUGCAGAAGCUCAUCUGAAAAGCAAUAAAGAACACAACCUAAAUCUACCAUAGCGAGUCUCAUCUCCCUAAAGUUGCAGUGGAGCAAAUUGAAGCUACGAAUCUCAUCUCCUAGAAGUUGCAGUGGGUUAGAAUGAGGCUACAUAAAAAAGAGGAGCACCAAAGAAGUCAAAAUUCGAUAGCACCAGACAAAAUGGGCCCUUCUUAAAGUCUUUAAUCCAUCCCCGUUACAUGACAAUGAGCAAAGAGAGGCAGCUGUAAAGGUCCAAUCUCGUCCAGAUCAAAACCAAAAAUAAAUAAACAAAAUAUAAAAACCAAAAAAUAAAAAAGUCCAUUUGCAAAAUAAUGGCCCAAAUACAAAACCCUAACCCAAACCCAGUGUUACACAAGCCCAAGCCCAACUAACCUAAAGUUUUUUGAAAACCCUAAAACCUUAGGUCUCCCUCUCAUGCCGCUCCUUGCCACGUCAGUUGGUGCCCCUCCCAAAGACACCCACGCCCCGAGGUCUGCUCCUCUGCGACCCUUGCACCAAAACGGCAAAGGCAUAGAUCUCUCUCUGCAGUUGACCGCACACCACCGCCUGCAAUGAGAAAGAAAUAAGGAUAGAAACAUGAAGCAAAAAUAGUAAAAAAGACAGAAGCAAAAAAUAGAAAACACAGAAGCAAACACGAAGAUUUGCAAUCACUCAGCUAUAAAAAGCCGGAUAAACAUAUUGUAAAAUAGACGAAAAAUACAAAGAACAAAAAAACAUUUAAAAUGAAGUUGAUCUUCUUGUUUUAUUUUUUUAUAUUUUGAAAAAGAAUAAUAAAUAAAAAAUAAAACGUGUUUACCUGAGUCGCUUUACAUUCCUUUGUUGUUAGAGGUCUUCUUCGAGGUGGAAAGCUCUAGAACCCUUUAGGGUUUGGCCUGGGCUUCGACGGCAUGGGGUGUGAAAGGCGCGUCGGCUAGGUGAAAGGGCUGAAAAUUUUCUUCUUCUUCUUCUUCUUUUUUUUUUCUUUUUCUUUGCAAAUGGUAGGCUUUGCCUUCAGCUCUAGCUGAAAGGGCACUGAUAAAGCCCGUUUUUGUGUAACUCUAGUGGCCACGGAGGGCUUCCGCUGACUCUAUAGCCAUAUCCUAGGCCGUGAUUUCAGAGAGAAAAAGGGAGAAAUGAGAGGAUUUUUUUUAAAACAUGGAGGAAGUGAUUUUUUUCUAAAAUUUUUGGCUUUUAUAGGCCUCCAAAACGGUGCCGUUUUGGGAUUGGCCUCAGACGUCCAAAACGGUGUUAUUUUAGCGAGACCCGAAUCACUCCCCAAGAUCCGGGUUUUUUUAGAAAUGGGAUAUUUUUAGUUUUAGUCCUUCUGCUUUUUAAAUACUUUUUAAUUUCGUUCUACUAUUUAUUAUUAUUUUUAUUUUGCCCUUUUGUUUUGUUUUUUGUGCAAUUUAGUCCCUCGACCACUGUGGACCCAUUUAGGCUAUACCACGUGUCCCAGGGCUUGGAAUAAUUACCCAUUUCAACCCUGCUACUUUUUAUGCGUCACAUUUUGGUCCUUUAUUCAUUUAUUUUAUUACAAUUUAGUCUUUUAAUUUCGUUUUAAUUCUGAUUUAAUCCUUGGUUUAUUUAAUUUCAACCUUUUAUGAAUUAUUUUAUUUAUUACUUCUUUACCUUUCUUUAAUACUCAAAAUUCAUGUUAUUUAUAUUUCCAUUUUAUUGUGCAUUAUUCGUCUUUAUUAUUAUUAUUUUAUUAUUCAGGUUAAUAUUAUGAUAGUAACUAUAAUAUAAUUAUCACUAUUAUUGCUAUAAAUUGUUGUUUUUUUACUAUCAUUAUAGUUGUAUUAUCAUCACUCACUAGUAUACCAUUUUUAUUUUUAUUUUAUUGAUUUAUUUAUUUGUUCAUUGAUUUACUUGCUUAUCAUUUUAAUAUCAUCUUUGCCUUUUUUACUCGUUACUAUAUUACUUUAUUUUGCUAACAUUCAUGUUGAGUAUCGCGUUAAAAUAUAUUCGUUCAUUUUAUUACUGGCCUAGAUAAAUAAAAAAGCAUAUCGUUAAAAGGUUGCACUCAUUUUACCAUAUGAAUAGGAAAUAUUCUUUUUUUUAAAAAAGACAAGGUUUAUUUUUUUGGAAUUAGAGGAGUCGUGCUCCGAACUUACGGAGUAUGACCUCUUUCUAAAACCGAAAUAGUUGAAUAUCUAUUUUAAAAAUAUAAAGAAAACGAGAUUUAAGUAAUGUCCAAAUGACGAUUAUUCUCGUUUUAAAGGGUUUAAGGCAUCAUAUCCUAACUUACGGGGCACGAUCUUUUCUUCUUGAUUAACUUGAAAUAAGCUCUUUUUGUGAAAAUCAAUUUAGUUAAGCGAUAUUUUAAUAUCAUGCAAAGAGGGAUCGUAUUUUAAGUUUGGUUCAAAUUUUUAGUUUUAGACAUCAAAACAUUAAGUAACCGGCUAGGUACCAAGGUACCAAUUUUGGGCGUUAUGAUGGUGCUUAACCUUCCUCAUAUGUAACCGACUCCCGAACCCACAUCCUUGGAUUUCGUAGGCUAAACAUUAUCAUUUUAGAAAAAUCUAAUCUUUUACCAAGAUGGUUAAAAUUUGAGGUCACCCAAUUACACCUAAUAAAAAGGAUCGGUGGCGACUCCAUUUUUAUUUUAAAAUAAAAAGUCGAUAAUCUAUUUAAACAAAUAUAAUAAAUAUUUUGCAAGUGUGCAAAUAUAAUAAAUAUUAUGAUAUUAGAUAUUAAGUUCAAGAUUCCAUUUAAAGUAUUAAUAAUAGGUAAAUUAUAAAAAUAGUCAUUUUUAUUUACCUCAGAUUACAUUUUAGUCACUUAUUUCAAUAAAAAAAAUUUUCAUGAUUUUUAUAGCUUUUCAACCGUUAAAAAGUUGAACCAUGUAAUUUCUUCUCUGAAACUUUUUGUGCACACUUUUCGGGACGUCUCGCAAGUUUUUGCGAUGCGUUGGAAAACCUCACAAAAAUUUGUUUAUUUAAAUCAAUAUUAAAAUAUAUGUUUAAAAUUAUGAACCCAUGAAAUUAUAAAUCUCAAAUUGGUAUCCUAAACAACCCAAGUCCUAAAUUAUGAACCUUAUAAUAAACGCUCUAAAAUUAUACUAUGGUUUAUAUUUUAUAUGGUAUGAAAUUAAAUGAUCAUAUAUUUUAAUAUGAUCAAAUGAAAACAGUGCAUUGGUUUACUAAUUAAACUAUUAAAUUCAAACAAUUAAUAGUUUGUUACUAAUUAAAAUGAAUUUAGAAGGAAUUUUUUAUAUUGAUGGUUUUUGAUGAUGUGUUUUGGAAGUCUCCUAACUUGGCUUUAUGUAGAGGAGAGGAAAUGAAUGAAGAGAUUUAGACCGAUUUAUGAAGAAUUUUGUUAAAAUGUUAAUAGGUAUAAGUGAACAGACACAAUGAAUGAAAAGCUGCAAUAUUAAACCAAAAGCAAUGAAUCUAUUCACCAAGAGAUAUAAUUGUUCAAAAGAUACAACUGUUCAUCAAGAGUCAGAACUAUUGUUUAAUUUGAGCAUCAAUUUAUCAUUCUAUCACUCAACAAUUUUGAACACAUUAUAUAGAAUAUAAACCCAUAAUUUAUUAUUCAAACCUUCAAUUUUAUCAAUAAAAUAACAUACCUCAAAGUUCCAAAAUAUCAAUUAUUUUUAAUCAACACAAUCUUUAUCGUUUGGGUUUUUGUAAAUUAUACAUGAUUCAUCUUUUACUCUCUUAAAACUAUUUUCUUAUAGGAAAAUAAGAGAGCUAUCUUUUUAAUAAAUUUAUACUCCACCCUCUUAAAUUAAUAAUGGUGAUCACCUACAUGUUAUGAGCACACUGUUAGCCCAAAACAUUUCGAUGUUAGGGUAUCUAUUUAGUUAAUUUAGUUUAAUGAGCUUUCUAAUCGCUUUUGGGUUUUCGGUCUUUUGACUUUGGAAGAUUCAUGUUCAUGCAACUAAGGAAUUCCUCAAGUCUGUUGAGAAGAAUGUGACUUGUCACAGGCUUGCUUAGCAAGUUGACUCAUCCUAGGUUGAUGUAAAUCGUGAUUCUGUGGUAACUUUAUAGGAUCAUUCGAUCUUUCCCCGAUGGUAAACUGAACUUGCUGAUCUCAUGUUGUACUUAUCAUUGUGAAGGGAUGACUCUUAUAGAUCACUAAGGAAGCCAUGAUUAUGUAAUCCAAUUCAACUGAGCUUAAUUGAAUAGUUUUAUAGCUUCCUUCCAUCUUAUCAUUGUGAGAACAAAGUACUAAUAGAGGACUUUUACUAGAAUGCAGAUGAAGUAAGGAAGGGAUUAGGAAGUGGCUGUCAAUGUGUAAUCUGUUUGGAAAUUAGUAUAUCUUAUAUUACUUUGUGUAGGCUAGAAGUAGAUAAAGGACUAAGAAGUAGCUCUCAUUGAUUUAUUGGUGUGGGAACUUUUUUAUUAGAUACGUGGUACUAUUUCAAUGACAAAACCAUGAAAUUGAUAAAGCAUUUAUUAUGGAAAUAAAGUUAAGUAAAACGUGGAAAAAAGAUUAAAUUACAAGUUUUGAAAAGUUUAGGGAUUAAAAUGAAAAUAUGACCAAAAUGAAAAAAGUAAGUUAUUGGUGAUGAAUUGACAUAUAUAAGAAUAGGUGGGGAUAUGUAUUGGUAAGAUGAAUUUUUUUAAGACUAAAUUGAAAAGAUGGGAAGAUAUAAAGACUAAAUUAUAAAUUUCCAAUUUUAUUGAAAAAAAGGUGAAAUAUGUAAUUUUGUGUUGGUGUGUGUUUUGUAGGUGAUUGUGUUGUUGUUGUCUUUAGGAGGGAUGUUCAAAUGGUUAACCGAACCAAAUUAGUAUUAAUUUAAUUAACCAAUUUUUUUUUACCUUUAACUGUUAACUAAAUCAAAAAAUUUUCAAAAAAUAUUAACCGAACCGAAAUUUAUAUGUUUAUUUUUUUAUUAAAACAAGUAUAAAAAAUAUAAAAAAUAAAUAAAUUGUUAAUGUUCAUUGACCGAAUUAAAACUACAUAUAAUUUGUAUUAUUGAUUAUUAAUUAAGUUAAUUACCCAAUUUCAAACUGAUAACCGGACUUUCAAAAAAUUAUUAACCAACCUCGGACCGAAUUAAAUCAAUUAAUCAACUAAUUAAUUGAAUUAGAUCGAUUCGAUAAGUUAACUCAAUUUUAACUGAAAUUUGAAUACCCUAAUAUUUAGGCAUGAUGUAUUGCUUCUUCUUUUUUUUUUAAUCUCUAACUUGGUUUUUCAUCCUUUAUGAGAUUUCAUAAAAUCUAAUAUAUAUUAAUCUUUGUAAACUUCGUCCUCCCGAAGUAAUGAAAUGGCAUUUUAGUAAAAAGAAAUUCCAAGUAGUUAUUACUAUAUACAUUACUAUCAAACUUUUGCUACAUUGCCACUUUAAUUUGUUUUUGGAAGAGGUUUUUUUUUUUUUUUAAUCAUCAUUUAUUCAUUAUAAUGGGUAGAAGAACGCCAAGAGUACAAGAGUGAUAGUUCCAAACAGACCACAGACAUCAACACCAAACGAAAGGGAAAAAAGAACAAAUACAACACAUAUCUUAGACCAUUUAACACUGCUAAUUGAUUAUCGUAACUUGCCUAUCAGUAUGCUCGAAAAUUAGUCAAGCAGUACAACCACAUAUAUAUAGGUAGAGAAAUGUCCAUUAUAUGAACUUACAUAACGGGAUACGAAGCUUUCAUGGCGAUACCACAUAAGCCACCUGGUGUAUUCGCGUCCCUUUGAAUCCUAAUAUAUCCUUUUUCACCCCAAGUUUCUCCCCAUGAAUUCUUAACCAGCCAGUAGUUUAAACCUUCUUCACUUGUUCCGUAUCCGACAACGGUGACUGCAUGGGAGAGAGCAUUGCCACAAUCUCCGGUAAACACUCCCCCGCUGUAAAACCGAAAGUCUUGUCCAUGGCCUUCGAUUGCAACUGAGACAGGUUGACUUGCGACGACCUUAAGCAACGCUUCUUCGUCGUUUUCAGGCACCAUUUGAUAUUCAUUGAUGGUGGCAACUUUGUUUAUCUGUUUCUCAGUGUCGCAAGUUUCUUGUGUUUCUUGAUAUGGGUAGCUCUCUUCAGUAGUUAUUCCUUGGUUUCGGAUAACGUAUUCGAAAGCAUUUACCAUUCGUCCACCAUCGCAACCUCUGUUUCCUCCAUCUGUGCUGCAAUCCAACAAUUGUUGUUCAGAUAAUGAGAUUAAACUACCAGUUUUGAUUUGGACUAUCCCUUCAAUGGCUGCCACUGCUGAAAAUGCCCAACAACAUCCUGCAAAGUAAACCAACAAUAACCCUUUGUUAAGUAUAAAACAAUUGCUUCUUGGCUGAGCAAUAUUUAUAAAAUAUUUUAUAGGAGUUGGGUUAGCAUACUA